rnacentral:lncRNA from 1 species
UAAAUACAAGUAUAGCCAAAUCCAUUGCGCUGACAUGCUAAGAAAGGUUUUGCUAUAUAUAUAUAUAUAGAGAGAGAGAGAGAGAGAGAGAGAGAGAGAGAGAGAGAGAGAGAUCCACUCAAUCCUGGGGGACCACUAUCAUCCUAAUCCUAUAUAUAUAGAGAGAGAGAGAGAGAGAGAUCCACUCAAUCCUGGGGGACCACUAUCAUCCUAAUCCUAACCAUCCAAAUCUUCAUCCAACGGCCAAAAAUUUAUAAGCACCAAUAAGUUGGUACUUUUUAAAGCACAGGAGCAGGAGCUCAAUUCUAUACAUUGAUGUUGAUUUAGGGCUUUAUCAAUUAGAUAUGUAUGUCCAUCAGGUGCAGGAGCUCAAUUCUAUAUAUUGAUGUUGAUUUAGGGCUUUAUCAAUUAGAUAUGUAUUUCCAUCUUCUUUUCUUCAAGUACACUUUUUGUUACUAUAAACGAAUUGGGUUUGCAUUUGCUAUGAUAGGUUGUGGAGGUUUCAACCUCAAAGACUGGGAAGCACGGACAUGCCAAAUGUCACUUUGUUGGUAUAGACAUUUUCACCUCCAAAAAGCUUGAAGAUAUUGUGCCUUCUUCUCACAACUGUGAUGUACGGAAUAUUCUCAUCCUUCAUUCCUUUAUUACUAGAAUGUGUUUCGUGAUAUUAACAAUGAUUCACCUUCUUCACAGGCUCCCCAUGUUAAUCGUACUGACUACCAGCUCAUUGAUAUCUCUGAAGAUGGAUUUGUAAGUUGUAAUCCCAUUUAUCAUUACAUUUGAUCUUUUUCUUGUUUCGAUGGCUAAUUCACUUUCUAUCACAUGUGGCAGGUGAGUCUGCUUACUGAAAAUGGCAACACCAAGGAUGACCUGAGGCUCCCAACUGAUGAGAAUCUGCUCACUCAGGUUAGUUUGCUGGAAAUAUUUUGGAGCUCUGUUUUCUUCUCCUUUUGGAGCUUGAUAGUUGCUACUCAGAGCUAUCAGCUCAUUUGAUUUAUUUCUGGACUAAUAAUAGUAUGCUACUGUGGGUUCUUUUUUUCUUUUUUGUGUUGCUUCUGUCAUCAAUUGAGCUGGAUUAAUCUGAAAGUUAAUCUGACAUACUCUAUAUUUUUUUCUAGAUGCUGAUUAGCUUUUGGACUUUUAGAUGUUUCGAUUUGGAUUGUCAUGUGCUGUAUUCCUGUCUGAAGGACCAAAAUUACUCUUUUCUGCACCAAUUGGCUGUUAGUGCUCUUUUUAAGUACAUAGUUUUGGUUAUUGUCUUGAAGAAAUAAUUUUUUUUUUUCUGGCUGAUCUAGUUCAUAGUUUACAAUAGUGACAAGUUAGGAGUAUCACAAUUUUGUGUGAUUGGAUUGCUAAAAGUGGUCGCAUUAGCUGUGUAGAACUCACACUAAUUGCGCUAGCUCACAAACUUGAAUAUACAGAUGAAGUUAACAGGACACAACUAGCAGAGUAGGUUUCCUUGUUUAGUCCGUUGGAAGUGAACUUGCAAAAGAUUUUUGUUGGACACUUGGUUCUUCUCAAAGUUUACGAGUUAUUAGUGUUUAUAUUUUGUUCUUCAAGGCCUAAAUUCUGCUUAUUAUCUAUAGUUUGUUAACUAGGUUCGUCUUUGAAGUCACUUGGUUGUCUUGCUACUGCUUCCUGUUCUUAUUUAUGUCCUCUUUUGCUUUGCUUGUCCUUUUUCUGUUUCUUUCUUUUAUAGAUAGUAGAGAGCCAUCGUCUUUGACAAUGAGUUAGUUUGGAUGAAAACACAUAAUUUACCUACUUUUCCUAGCAUUAAAUCUUUUUUUUUUUUUUUUUUUUUUUUUUUUGGGGACCAAACACAGAUUAAGGAUGGGUUUGCAGAAGGGAAGGAUCUGGUGGUGACGGUGAUGUCCGCCAUGGGCGAGGAGCAGAUCUGUGCUCUGAAGGACAUCGGCCCAAAGUAGCUCUCCUGCGCCAACUACUACUACUACUGGUUCCUUUUUCUUUUAUUUAUAUAUAAACCAAUAUAUAUAUUAUCUAAGGGGAUAAUGGAGCCAAUCGAGAAAACUGCGAAGAUAUAUCAAUGUUGUUUCCUAUCAGACGUUAAUCCUGCUUGAGCUGGCUUUCGCCAGCUAUUGCUGGGUUGGUAAUUUAACUAUUCGUAAGAACCGGGGUGUUUAUAUUCUAUUUUAAAGUGGGGAAUGGCGACGGUCUGUGAGAUUUAUUUCUGGCUUUUAUGGUGCCGUUGGAUGUAUACCAACUGGAUCUCUGAUUUACUGCAGGUAUCGCCUAUUUGUUGCCCUCGUAAGUAUUAUUGUUUUACAGAGUCUUAGAACCCUCUCCAGCAAAUUUUCAGAAACUGAAAAUUUUUCGAGCGCAUUAUCUAUGCGAAUAUAAGAUAGUUGUGCUUAUGUAGUAGCUUAUGCUGCUCUAGUUUCCUCAAAAGCCUUUGUUACCUCUUUGGUCUCGUACUUCUUAAAUGGAGUGUGUGGCUCCUCUCAUUUCUCCGAAGUAAAUUGAGACUCCUCUCAUUGAUCGUGAGUAAUCAAUCGUGAGACAUGAUUACGUCAGGUGUUAGCGUUGCUUGAUUCAAAAAAAAAAAAAAAAAAAAAAAAAAAAAAAAAAAAAAAAAAAAAAAAAAAAAAAAAAAAAAAAAAUUGUUGUUUAGACCUGUAGGAGUGUACAAUCUCCUCUCGUUUGUAACUUUUUGGUGGGGUCUUGUAUCCAUAUUAGUGGCUUAUAUAGUAUUGUUUCUACGGAAGUCUCCGAUGGCCGGCCGAAGCUAUUUAGUAGAAUUGCUGAUUUUUCCGGUAGGGAGAAUCUACGGUGGCCAUUUGCGGAGAGAUGUUGGACCGCUCCUAAAACAUUUCAGCUCGUAAAACUGAAAGUUGUGCACGGCAAUCGUACAAAACGGCCGUAUAAUUAAUAAAUUCGCUUAAGAGGAAGAAUACAUUGAACUAAUUUUUAUUUGAUAAAAUUUUAAACAGAAGUAUGAUUAUCCUUGAUAGUUCUAAGCGUUGCGUUCCUCCGUGGUAUGCGUGGUACUCUGCAUGGCAUGCAUAUCGUGCGUUCUUCCGUGGUAUUAAUUGUGUGGCACUCUGCAUGCAUGUAUGCAUGCCGUAUUUGGCUCAACAAUCGGCCCCGUAGUGCAUGCGAGCUCACGCUCGGCUGCAGCAUGCAUGCUUGUCGACCGACCAGAACAGCCGUAUGGCACUGUCGAUGUGCGGAGGGAGGCCUGACUCUAUUUUCUCUCUUCUCUCUUCUCCCUUCUCUUUUCCUUCGAUCGAUGCGCAUUAAUUUGUCGAGCGAGGCUACACGCACGACACGAUCGCAGCACACAUGGAGGGGCCGGGGGCAUGCAGAAGCGAGCGUUGGUGGCGCCGUGCGCAUAUGGAAGAGGAGGAGUGGUGUCGUAAACUUGCAAAUGCAUGGAGGCAGCAACUGCGUACGUACGUUCUUGCAUGGCAGCUUUUUUUUUUUUUUUUUUUUUUUUUGCUGUUUAUUUUUAUUUUUCUGCGAACAGAGAGAAUCACUAAGACGAUGCGCAAGGAAAAGAAGGCAAAGUCGAAGAACACUUUUCAUGCUGCAAUCGAUCAUUCUAUGUUUGGUUUAUAAUGACUUUCGCUAGAUGUGCACUGUAUGUGACCGGCCGUAAUUUGAAUUGUGUAUAUAGUAACGAUCUAUUUCAAUACAUUCUAAAGUUCUUCUCGAUUUUUUAAGUAUAAAAUGUUAUAACUUUAUAACUAAUAUCUUAUUCAAAUAAAUUGAACAUUUUUUUUUUCUUGUAUAAUUUUUUUUUUCUCAAAAGACGUUAUGCUUUCUACGUUAAUGGAUCCGAAAAGUUUCGGAUCGACUAAUAGUUAAAGUAAGUAAACUUCUUGUAUCAAGUUGUCUCCAAAUAUAAAAUCACAGUUCCUGUAUUUUUAAAUGAACAUUUUUCUGAGCUAAACACGAACAAAAUUAACUUCCGUGAGGAGGAGCUCUCCAACGAUCAUCUCGCUGGCAAGCUCCGAAAUCUGCUGUCAUGUAUUAGUUUGCCUCAUUCCAAAUGAUAGUUGGAUAAUUUUUAACACUAAAAUCUAAACAUAUCUCAUAAAAUUCUAAAUAAAUUAAUAUAUGAUAGUGAAUUGAAGGGCCUUAUGUUGGUUUAAAUGGGCCAGCAUCCUGCCAUGUGGCGUGAGGUCGGAUUGGGCCGAGUCACGUUUGAAAUGGCGUGAGGCUGGAUAGGCCGAGUCAUAUUCGAAAUGGCGUGAGGCUGAUUGGGACAAGUCACAAUCGAGACCCACGGGCGCUGUAUCUAUACGCUUUAAGUGAAUUAGCUACGUAUCUCUAACAGCUCGAGCUUUUGAAAUUAAUAGUUAGCGCCAACGAUCCGACACUCACCUUAUACGAAAAUAUGUUUUGAAGAGCUUCUUGCUGAAGUUUUUUCUGCUGAACACACCCUCUAGUUACAUGGUUACACGACACAUCUGUUUUUCCUAAACUGCCCCUUUCAUGUUUAUGCACUUUAAUUUUGGUGCUCGAUUAUUUUUCACAUCCUUUUUUUUUUUCUGCAGAUAUUUAUUCAGCAGCUGGAUAAGCUUCUGGCACAGGUCCCCUUAUAUUUGUUUUUUUCUCUUUUUUUUUUUUUUUUAAUACAAGUGUUUUAUGAGUUUUAGAAAAAAUAUUUAUGCUUCCGUGUCAGUGACAGCUGGAUCCAAAGGGUUUUAUUUUUCCCAUCAAACCAAGCGCACGCUGGGUCUAACCUCGUGCCCACGGACAGUGACAGCAACAAGUUGGCUUAAUUCCAAACGAAUUAUUUUUUAAAAAAUUAAAAUUAAAAGUAUAUGUGAAUCCGUCUUGAAUCUCUUGAUACACAAAUUCGAAAUUGAAUCUUGAAAAAAAAUUAAAAAUUAGUACAGGAAACUUUGAAAAAAAUCAAAUCAACCUAUUUAGUAUACUAAAUAUUAAAUUAAAUUAUUAGUAUUUAAUUAUUAUAAUAAGUAUUUAAAAAUUAUAUUUUAUAGUUGAAAAUAAGAGUGCAGUACCAACUCCUCGAUGCUAUAAUUACUAUAAGUCUUAACUUGAUCUAAAAUAUUUUAAAAUAUUAAAAAAAUAAAUUUAAUAAUUUUUGAAACAUUAUCUGGAUAAUAAUUGAAAGGCUUCAAGUUCAAUAAUUUUUAAGGGGCUAUGUAAGUCGCCUGUUUCUUUAUCGGUGUAAUUAAAUGACUCAAUUAAUUGAAUUUUUGACCUAAAGUAUGUUUUCACUGUCCUCAUUACGUUUGACAAUCCUAAUCUUGCAACGAAAAGUCCGGGGCUUUAUUUUUCCAAUGUUGUUUGUUCUUAACCAUUCAUCUUAUGGCAUUAUGCUGCACUCCAUUAUGAUUUUUCAAAAAUCAUAAAAUUUAAUUUUUAAGACACUUCUAGUGCGCUAAAUCAAGUUCAACAAUAUCGAUAGUCGAUUAAUAAUAGAAUAAUAGCUGAAUUCGUAAUAAAGGCUCUUUCUAUAUAUAUUUCAAUGCAUCAUCAACAAAUAAUAUUAGCAUCAGUUGAGCUGGAAUACUAUCAGUAGUAAACGGGCUUCGUUCCCACCCAUUUAAUUUUGAUGAUGGAGCCUCCAAAUCGACGAUCGAUAUCAUUGAAUAUGAACUAUACCACUCGAAAUGUUUAGAAAUCAAUUUUCAAUUUUUUCGACAUCAUUAACCUAAUAAUCAAAGGGUUUCAAAAUUUAUAAUUUUAAUGGUCGAUAUGAGGUAUUUUCUCGUUUAACAGUGUAAACAUAUCCAAACCGAUUGAAUUUUGGUAAAAUUUUUUUAAAACUAUUUAGAAUAAGAUCUAAAUUCUCGAUCUUGAUUACAAAAUUUCUAUCAUCACUUUUUAGAGAAUAUUCAUUUUCAGCCAUUCAAUUUUGUGUUCACUGAUGGAUAAGAAAAUAAUAUCAGAAAAGUAUGAAAUUUGAUUUCUAAAUGCUUUAAGUGGUAUAAAUCAUAUUCAACAAUACCGAUCGUUGAUUUGUAGGCUCUACCAUCAAAAAUAAAUAAAUGGCAAUAAAACUCGUUUGCUACCGAUAGUAUUCUAGCUCAACUCAUAUUAGUAUUAUUACGGUAAAGAUAGCUUAAAAGUGUGUAAAGUUAGAGAAAUUAAAGCCUACAACAGUGUAUUCCCACAUCCUAUGCCCAGCACUAUUUUUAGCACUUUUCUAUACGGUUGGUUUGAGAUUAGUUAAUGUUCAUUGAAAAAACUUCAUUACAUUGUCCUAUGUAAUUUAUAGUUCACAACAGUAUAUUGGACAUUUUUAUUUUUGUACACAUUAGUUUCCGAUUUGAUAGAUUAUGGACAUGAUUGUUUCGCUGAAAUUGGACUUUGGGUAGAAGUAGACUUUGGGUUUAAGUAAAGUUCAGUGAAAAUUAUUUUUUUUCCGCUGUUUGUUUCGUAAUUAUGGAAGUGAAAUUUUAUUAGUUCUGCUGUUUGUUUGGUAGGAAGUGUAUAAUAUAAAACUAUAAUUUAUAUAUAAAUAAUAAAUACUUUAAUAAAUAAAAAUAAUAUAAUUAUAUUUUUAUAUAAUUAAAAUUUAAUUUAAAAUAAAUAAAUUAUUUUUUAUAUAUAAAUUAUAGUAAUACAAUAAUAAAAUUAUAAAGCAAAAAAAUAUCAAUAUUUAAUUAAUCAAUUUUUAUUAUAUUUUUAUUGUACAAAUUAAAUAAAAAAAAUAUUAAAACUUAACUAAUCAAUUUUUAUCAUAUUUUAAAUAUACCAACUGAAUAAAAAAAUAAUUAGUAAUAUAAUUAAAUAUAUUUAAAUGUAACUAUCUUUAUCUAGUAUAUUAUUUUAUUAUUUUUUCUUCAUCUCACCUCUCCGUAAGUGACUCGGCUCAUGAUGGCCGAAGUCAAUUACGCCGUUUGAGAUUCACUCGAGUUUUGACCGUAACUUUUUUACCGCAAAUCAAACAACGGAAGUGAUUAUUUACGAUGAAAACGACUUCCCUCCACUCCACUCCCACCCCACUUCCGCCCAAACAAACAUGCCCUAUAUGUAGAUUUUAAGGGUUAAUUUCAUUCUUGCCUCUCUAAAUUUUAGAAGUAUCAAAAAUACUCCUAUAAAUUUUGUUAUAUCAUUAUUUCUCUUUCCAAUACAUUUUUUUUUUUUCAAAAAUACCCUCGCCGUUAUACUCCGUCUCUUCAAAUCAUAUUAACCAUAGUUAAAUGGUGGUCUAACACAUGUUAAAAUUUGAAAUGUCCGUUUUGCCCAUGAGUUGAGAAUCUUUUGAAGGAUAUGUUUAUUAUAUGACUUUAGUAUUUAGCCCCUAACUUUUGUUCAUUAUUUGUUUAACAUCCAAACUAAUUAAUGUUGCUCACCGGUAUUCUUUCGUACUAUUUGGCUCCUAACUUUUGUUCAUUAUUUAUUGGCUAAAUUACAGAAAAUUUCUAUGUAAUAACCCGCUUUUUUUCUUUCCCCCCAUGACAUUUAAAAAUCUACACUUUGCCCCCCUGUAAAAUAAAAAAUGUUCACAGGGGGGGUUACGGUGUGUAAAAUGACCAUUUUACCCCUCGCCAUUGUCGUCUUCUUCCCCAUCUUCCUCAGCCGCCCCUUCAUCCGGUCGCGAUUCCCAUCUCAAUCGGCCGCGAUUUCUCUCCAUUUCCUUCUCCACCUGCUCCCCUUCUCCUCCUGCACCCUCGCCGCCCUCGAUUUUGGCGACAGUAGGAGAAAUCGAGGUGGGCGACAGUAGGAGAAGGGCAAAGAAGGCGAAGGCGAGGCGGCGGAGGACGGCGAAGGGGAUGUGGGUGAGGGCGAGGCAGUGGAGGACGGCGAGGCGGCGAGGAGGCGGCGAGGCGGCGAGCCGGAGGGAGGCGAAGCAACAGGGAGAUGGCGGAGGGGUAUUUUCGGCAUAAAAAUAUAUUUUUUAACGGAACCCUAAUGGUAGGGGGUGAAGUGCACAUUUUUUAUUUUACAGGGGGGCAAAUUGUAAGUUUUUUAAAUGUCAGGGAGGGAAAGUGAAAAAACGGGUUAUUAUAAGGAGGUUUUCUGUAAUUUAACCUUAUUUAUUUUAGUUAGUUGUAUUUAAAAUUUUAUUUAACUUAAAUUACUUUGUUAGCCAUUACUCAUAUUUUUUUCAAAAUUUUAACUUCGUAGAAGUAAUUAAAUUUAUUGGAAUCAUCAGUAGGUUGAUAAAAUUUGUAAUUUAAUUAACAAAAUCAAUCCAAUUUCAAGGAACCAAAUAUUAAAAGACUUUGAUAAAAAAAAAAUAAUUUAAAUUAAGAGGGCUAUUUGUAAUGUGUAAUAGUUAAUUGAAUCUCCAUAUAUUAAUUUUGGAAAUUUUGUGAGAAUAUUAAUGAAUAUGAAUUGGAGGUUAAAUUCAGUAUUUUGAAUCCAUUAUAUCUAAACAUAACAGAGUAGUAGUUAUGAGAGUAUUUUUGAAAAUUUUCAUACUUUCUAAAGGCAAAUAUGAAAAUUUAAAAUUUAAAAUAUAUUUAUGAUAUUAGAGUUAUUUACAAAGAUAUGGAGAAAAUUUUUUCCCUAUUUUAUUUUAAUAUAUUAAUCAUCAAAAAUUGAAUGCCAGUUAUAGGAACACACGUGGAAAGGAAGAAAUUUUCAUCAAAUAUUAAACAGCAUAUGCAUGUCACUAAAAAGACCGUAUUAAUUAGACCGUAUUAAUUACAUAUUGGCUAGACCUGCUACUAGACUUACUAGAGAUGUGACGUUACUAUAUACGGUCUAUCUGAAAUACUAUUGAUAGUAUCAAGCAUUUAGUACCAUCAAAUUUUUCACCGCUAGAUUUAACUCUUUAAUUAUUUUUAUCUGUUAGAUUAUACUAUUCAACCAAUAACUUACUCAACUUUAUAACGACCCAUAUCAUCCUAAUCGUACAUUUUUUUAUCCAAAGGUUAAAAAUUUAAUAGCACCAAACACUUCGUGCUAUUAAUAAUAUUCCAGCCUAGUUCUACAAUAUAUAUAUAUAUAUAUAUNCAUUCGAUUUAGUAUUCUGAUCAUAAGUGACAAAAAAAAUUAAUAAUUGAUAUUCGAUAUCUUAGUAAUUUUAAUUAUUUUAUAAUUUUAAUUAAAAUAUUUUUAAUAAAAUAAAUAAACAGAUAGUAUAUUAUUUUUCUCUAAAAAUUAAAAAUUAGUUCAUUCUGCGAACAUACACUAUAUAUAAUAGUGUUUAUAAAAAGAUGUAAAAAGAUGUCCCGAUAAUGUACUAGUAUCAAUAUUACCUACGCUAACUUUUGACUUUUCUUUUGGAGAGAGAGAGAGAGAGAGAGAGAGAGAGAGAGUAAAGCACAACUCUGCAAAAUAUAAAGAAAUAGAAAGAAAUGAUUUGAGUGUCAACACUGGUACCUAGCAAAUUACAAAGCUUAAAAAGAAACAUGCUCAAAAACUCCAAUUCAAAGCUACAAAAGAAUAUAGAAAAGAUUACAUUAGUAUGAUCACCGUGCACAAGUUUUUUUUUUAAAAACGAAAAAAAGUAGCAUAUUAUCCUCUUUAUUUAUUUGUUUAGAAAUAAGUUUAGCUGAAAAUGUGAAUCAAUUAGUAUUCGAACUUGGAAUCUCGGAUACCAACUAUCGAGUCCUUUACCACUUGAGCUAGGUACAGUCGGUCAUCCUAAACCGUGUACGAGUUUUGCUCAUGAUCUACAACUCGAUGCCUAAUCCAUGACGCACUUAUAUAUUCCUUUUCCUUUUCCAUCCGACCAUCAUGUCAAAAAUUUACAUAUAGCUACCGACUGUCCUUAUAGCACAAAUGACUAAGAGCUUGAAGAUUGAUAUCUGAGGUUUCAAAUUCGAAAUCUAGUUAUUUCAUAUUUUUAAUUAAAUUUAUUUUUUUUGAAAAGAACAAAAUAAGUAGCAUUCUGUCUUUACGUCAGAGAUAUAUGAGUUCAUGGCUAGCUCUUUUUGCGGCACACAAUGUUCCACAUCUUCAACCAUGGUGUAUGCAGGAUCUACACACGCAACUUCCCCAGUACAAUUAAUGAUGGAGCAAUUAUUUGGUCAUCAUGGAUGCAGCUAUAAAUUUACACUCAUUAAUUAAUCAAAGAUGAAGGGGGAUGGGACUGCAUAAAACAACUGGCCACCAAAAUGCUUGAACAGUGGCCCUGAAAUGAAAGCAUAAUCAUAUUUUGAAUCACAUUUUUUGGUUGGUGAAUGUAAUAGAAUUGCUUAGUUGUUUUGAGAUCGAUAUACAUAUAGCAAGGGCCUGUUUGAGUGUGUGUACAUUUUGUUUGGUGCACCUGCUUUGUUUGAUCAAGAAACUUGUACUAAGUGGUAGAUGAAGAGUAUAAGUAGAUGCUUGUGAUAACAUAAUUAAUACAUACAUGCAGGUUUAGAGAACAAAAUGAAUUACGUUGUAGGUGGAAUAUGUAUUUAUCUUUGCAAAUGAGGUAUGUUGACAUCUUUUAAGGAUUUAAAAGUAUGCUUCUGAACUGUAAUCAUAUAAACAAUAUUCUUACUUUUCACAUAUUAUCACUAAAUAACUUGUGCGGACAUAUAAACCAAAUUUUUAUGGCUAUCUCUUUCUCUCUCCAAAACAAUCGGUAAUCUCUAAAAGCUUGAAUUCUAUUGCUACGUUAAUAGUUUGUUUUCAAUACUCCCUCUCCCCCCUCUCUUUCUCUCUCUCUCUCUCUCUCUCUCUCUCUCUCCAAUUGAAUGUCCCUUUGGUUGCAUGUGGUUUAGAGCUUAGAAGUGAUAUUAACAAGGAAAAACUUUAAAAAGCUCCCCUAUGGUUUCAUACUUUUUCACUUUAGUAUCCUGUGGUUUAAAGUCUAUCAAUUUAACCCCCUGUGGUCUCAUUUUUAUUUUUUCGGUAUCUUUUUCGUUAAUAUUUCGUUAAAUUAUAUACAAAAAACUUCAGAUAUCCAUCUAGAUUUAUCGAAUAUUCACUUUAGUACCCUUCAAUCUUAAUUUUGUCACUGAUUUAAGAAAAAAAAUAAUGAAAUUCAUAAUAAAAAGAGAAAAACGAAAUCACAGUGGGGCAAAUUGAUACACUUUAAACCACAGAGUACUAAAGUGAGAAAAUGCGAAACCACAGGGGGUUUUUUUUAAGUUUUCCCUAUUAACAAAGUUACUUUUAUUAGGAGCAUUUCAGAUUUAUGACAUAUGAUCAAAUUCGAUUACUAAUCAUACCAAUAAAUUUAUUUGUUAAUAGCGAAAUCAGAUUGCCUUACAUAUUAGGCAAAUCAACAGUGCUUUAAUAGCAUAGGUGAGAGUGAUCUCUUGUGCAUGUCAACAUUUGUCGUUGAUUGGAUCUUUUUUUUAUCAUUAAUUGGACUUUUAAGCAGUUUUUGGAGAAUUUUUUCUUGAAUAAUAUCUCAUUACGAUAAUUACUUACUUGCAUGAAUUUAUAGUUUUGAGUAUUGCAUGAAAUAUACUAAUUAAACCUAUAAAAAUAAACGAUGCCGUAAAGUCAGAAUGCCAUUGACCGGCUCAAAUCAAAUAAAUUUAAAAGUUGGGUGGUAAAUGAAAAUUUUCAAAAAUCGAAUAGUCGAAUAAAAAAGUUCAUAGUUCAAGUAAGUUUUGUACACUUUUAUAAUUUAGAAAAAUUAUCAAACCUCACUACAACAGAAUUAGGUUAUAGGGACACAUGUUUGGGACACUUUUGAGUAAGUGUCUCAUUUAUACUAAAACUUAAAAAACAUCUACUAAUACCUAAAUAUAAAGCCCAAUCCAACCAAAAAUAAAAGAUUACUCUACUCAACCCACCACACCCAGUUCAUUUGGCCCGAUUACAAAUAGAAAAGAAUAAAAAAAAAAAUCAAUUACCAUCUUUUCUUCUCUCUUCACUCAAUUCACUGAAAUUCUAGACGAAGAGCCUUUCCUGUCGUCCUCCUCCGCCACCGCAGCCAACGAGAUAGAGUUUUGGCGGUUGCUAAAUGCUUAAAUAAGUGUUGGUAAAUUAGCAGCACUCUUUUAGGUUAUAGCGACACUCUUUAACUGUCACUAUAUACCUAGCGACCCCACAUAUAGCAACACUUUUCAAAAGUGUCGGUAAUUUUAGCUAGCAGCACUUUUUUGACAUGUACCUAUAUUUAAAAGUGUCGCUAUAGACCGUUUUUGUUGUAGUGUCUACUUAUAUAAUAUUGUUAUUCCACACAAAAUAUGGCUUAAAUAUCUGUUUUCUACUCCUAUAUAUCCUUUCAAUUGUUAAAAUACAUGUUAUGAUUAAGAUAGUAUGCAUUUAUUAUAUAUACAUUAGUAGUUUUCUAGUUUAGUUUAAUUAUUUUAAUAUUUCUUAAAUUUUGAGGGGUAAAAAUAUGACAUCAACAUCUACUUCCUUGAAAAAAAAUAAAUAAAUAAUUGUACGGCAUGGUGUAUGAUAAAUAAUUUUUGUUUGGGCGCAUGCGUUUACUUUUAUUAUCUUUUAUUACUUUGAAUUACGGGAGAUUGAAAAAGAAAGAUGGAAACUAAGAUGAAUGUUUUUUUGGUUUUUUUUUUCUUUUUUGAGAGAGAGAGCAAAAAGCAAUUUGAUUUCCUAAACAGGAUAACAUGAAGCCAUAACCAUUCAGUUUUUGAAUAAAAAAUACAUAUAUAAAAUAUGCUAUACCAGUUAAGCAAUGAACAUUAAAAAAAAAAUAGAGGAAUAGGAUUAAAAUAUAUAAGUUGCAUUGUAUUUUAAAAUAGGGUUAAUUUCAUACAGGUCUAUGCAAAUAUAGUGAAUUAUAAAUAUAUUUCUACAAAGUUCAACUUUAAUAUAUUAUUCCUGUAAAAGUCUUAAUAUUUUCAAAUAUAUCCCUCUGACUUGUUACCGUUAAAAUACUGACUAUUUUAUAAGUGAAAUGACUUGUUCGCUAUCACAAAUAUGUUUCUCCCAACUGUUAAUUGAAGUGGGGCAAAAAGGUCAAUUCACCUCAUUAACUAAUUACGGUUAGAUAUUUAACAUAUGAUUAACUAAAAUUUUCUAACAGAUUCUAAAACCAGGAACAUAUUUGAAAAUAUUAGGACUUUUGUAAGGACAAUAUAUGAAAGUUGAAUUUUGUAGGAAUAUAUUUAUAAUUCACUAUAUUUAUAGGGAUCUGUAUGAAAUUAACCUUUUAAAAUAACAUUACUAUCCCAAAACUCUAUUAUCAAUAGAGGACAGUUGUUCUCCAAUCCUCAAUCAAGUUUUGGUCAAAAACUCCCAUUUCCUCACCCAAAUAACAUGUAUUGCUCACAAAAGUCUUGGUGGGUAUAUAUGCAUUAAUAAUAUACUUUGUCACUUAUCUUUCAACUACAUUGUGCUUUUAUUUUGUAUGAAAUGCUUUGUACACCUAAUUAAUUACACCAUUCAUAAUUUCUACAGACUUUAUUAUUAGGGAUGCAAAUGAAUCCGGGUUGGCGGAGAUUCCACUCAGACCCAGUCCGAAUGGGACAAUAAGUGGGAACGAAAAAAUAAAAAAAAUAUAAUUCAUCCUGAUCCGCCAAAUAAAUAGAGCGGGAGGAGAGAGACUUUUUUUUUUUUCCUUCAAUCCAUUCUGAUCUGUCAAAAAUCUGCUAAAAAUUCGCUCAUGUCUCGAUCGAUCCCGAAUAGGGUGGUAAGUGGGAACUAAAAAUAAAAUGAAAAAAAAUCGCCCCAAAUUCGUUCCGUCUUGACAAGAAAGAAAGCGAGAGGCGGGAGAACCCUGCCGCUUUUGCAUCCCUAUUUAUUAUACUAUAUUUUACUGUACUUUAUAAUUUUUUUUACUUUCUAUAUAAUAUACUAUACUUUUAUCUUCUUUUUUUUUUUCAAAGACAUUGGAACAUAGCUUAACUAUAUAUCUUUGUUUUUAAUUUCUAUGUUAUAAGCAACAAAUCUAUAAUUUUAGAUGAAACAUAAGGCAAAGCAUCAACUGAGCUAGUUUUGAUACAAAAAGUAACAAAAUACAUAAAAAUAAUAGAAGGUUUUAAUUGGUCUAUCGUGCAAAAAAAACAAAAAAUCCAUUUUUUUUCUCCUAUUUAAGUAAUGCUUCUUAAUAAAAUUGUUAGAUUUUAUUAAAAUAGUAGAUUUUAAAAGUAAUGCGGAGAUUGACAAUAGAAAAAAAAAAGUUUAGUAAUAUCUAUAAAAAAAAUUACAAGAUAAAAAAAAUAAAUCUAAAAUAUAGUGGAGAGAUAAAUAAAAUAUAAUAAUAUAAUGAUUUAAAAAAUGUAUAAUGUAGCAAAUGAAAAGUAUCACUAAAGUCCAGUGCAGGUGCAAUUGAGCCAUUUAUAUAUAUUUUUUCCAUUUUGAAGUAAUAAGAUGUUUAAUUACUUUUAUUAAGUUUUGGAGAUAUGUUUACUUUAAUUCCAUCCCUUAUUUUUUUCCAUAUUGAGUAUAAAUAUUAAAAGGAUAUCCUAACUGUACACUCUCUUCGUAAUCGUAGGUAUAAAAUCUUACAUCUCCUCUAUCCAAGGAUUAACAAAACUUUAGCCACCGUUUGGUUGGGGGUUAAGGGGUGGAAUAACCCCUUAACCCCCAAUUUAUAUCCAAACACCACUUUUUUGGGGUGGGGUUAGUAAACCCCACCCCAAACCGGGUUAGUGGGGUUUACUAACCCUAGUCCCCCUCCCAACUUUAACCCCGCACGUAUCCCGAGCCCUCACCUUUUUCUUCUUUAUCAAUCAUUAACCCCACUCCCCCUCCCAACUUUAACCCCGCACGCAUCCCGAGCUCUCAUCUUUUUCUUCUUUAUCAAUCAUUAUCUUUUUAUCCCACCUACUCCAACCAAACACUUUUUUUCACUAUCCUAGACUAACUCCAACCUCCAACCAAACACAAAAAAAUUUUAACACCAUUUUAACCCUGAACUUAACCCUAUUUCUGGAAUAGCUACUUUUUCUUAAUCCCGAACCAAACGGGGGCUAAAUUUUUCCUUUUGAUAAGACUAUAAGGAGAACCAGAGUUAUUGGUUGAGUUAGAUGGACACCUUACACUGUUAGCUUAAAUUAAAAUACUAAAGUAUUUUAAAAACAAAUUUGUUGUUUCAUGUGAUUUUAACAUGAUAUCAAAAUAUGUAGUUUUGAGUUUUAACACAGAUAUGAGGGUGAGUGUUGGAUAUAAAUAUUAAAAAUAUUAUUUUCUAAGAACUUAAGUUUUUAAAAAAUAACAAUAUGUUCAUAUUAUCUAACAUUUAAUUUAAAUAUUAAUUUGACUUUAAGUUUCUGUACUUUUCUAACACCUAACAAAAUUUUAUAUGAAACCAAACAAUUUUGUUAGUUAUAGUUUCUGGGACCCCUUCCAUAGACCCACAUAGAAUUGGAAUUGGAGUGGUCAUGGAAUUCUUUUAAUUCGGAAAAAGUAGAGAAAAAUAAAAGUGCAAGCAUAUUUAGUACAACGAUAUAUUUUUCUACGAAUAACACUUGACUGCGAGAUUUGUCAUUAUUAUUAACUACAGAAGCUUCAAAUUUCAAAUAAUUUAAGAGACUCAAAUAAUGAAUAUUUACAACGAUAUAUUUUUCUAUGAAUAAUACUUGACCGUGAGACUUAUCAUCCAGAUUAACUACAAAAUCUUUAAAUUUCAAAUUUUUUAGGAGACUCAGAUAAAUGAUUUUCUACUCUUCUCCACCAAAUAAUGUUUGAGAAUGAAAAAUGUUAUUAUUUAAGAGAAAAAUUAGUAAAUCAAUUAGUAAAAAUUCAUAAGUAAUUGCCAACCUAAGUUUCAUUAAUGAAGUAUUAUUAGCCAAAGAAAAAAAAAAAGGCUAACAUUAGUUAUUACCAAAACAUGUUUGGCAUAAUAGUUUAAUUAUUAUUAUUAUCUAAUAAUAAUAAUAAUAAUAAAUAAAUAACCUAGAGACUUUUUUGUCCUAUUAAAAAUCAUGACACUCACCCAAGGACGCAAUUGACCAAAAAAUCCACAGCCAAGGGUAUUUCGGUCAUUUCAGCUUCUCAUCUAGUGAGACAAGCACCCGAAGUCAACGUCCCUUUUUCUCUUUUAUUUUUUUUUUCCCUGUCCAUUUUUAAUUUUAUUUUUAUUUAAUUUUAAUCCAUAAAAAUUUUUAUUUCCGCUUCUUCUUCUUCUUCGUUUCAGUCUCCAUCUCUCUCUCUCUCUCUCUCUCUCUCGAUCUCGAAAGCCUCCACAGUUUCUACGCCGUCGACUUCCCAAUUUUUUUUAAAAAAUUUUAGAGGAAAAAGGGGGAAAAAUAAAUAGGGUUUAAAAAGAGUUUGAGGAGGGGGAUGAGCCGUGUGAUCGGAAUCUGAUGGCGGGGAACGGGGGAAGAGGGGGCGCGGCGCCGCCCGCCGCGCGGCCGACGAUCGCGCUGCCGCGCGCGCGCCGCCUACGAGAGCCUCUUCGCCGGCGGCGGCGGAGGAGGCGGCGGCGGCGGCGGAGGAGUGGCGGCGGCGGCGGCGGAGGUGAGCCCCGGGCCGUUGACGCUUGCGUCGAGCUUGUUCCCCGACGAGUCGGAGUCGGAGUGCAGGUCGUUUACGCAGCUCCUCAUCGGCGCCAUGAGCUCCCCUGUGGGAGGUGGCGGUGGUGGUGGUGGAUUGGAGAGAAGAGGUGGUGGAGGAGGAGGAGGGGGAGGAGGGGGAGGAGGAGGAGGAUUGGUUAGGUUUGGGCAGAACCGGCCGACGAGCCUUGCGGUGACGCAGCCGCCGGUGUUCAUGAUACCGCCGGGGCUCAGCCCGGCGACGUUGCUUGAUUCCCCGGCUUUCCUUUCGCCUAUGGUAUGUUCAUUCUUCUUCUUCUUCUUUUCUUCCCCUUUCUCAAUUUGAGUUUAAUUUGAUUGUUUGUUGUUCUCUGCAAUUCAUCGAGAUCAAUAGUGAUUGUGUAAAUAGGAAUCUGGUCAUUAAAUUUGCAAAUUAUUGUUGAGCUCAUAAAGGUUCAGAUUCGGUGUCCCAUUCAGAUAACAAGAAAUUAUGUUCUGAUAUGAUGUUUAUCAUGAUUCAUAGAAAGAGGUUGGCACUUUUUUGGGUUCAAUCUUGUAGAUCCUGCAUCUCAUUUUUACCUUUUAUAACUUUAAUAGAGAGGUGGUACGGUGGAAAUUUUCAUAAUCUUGAACAGGUGUUGCCCCCUGUUUUCCAUUCUCUUAUAAGUGGAGAUUCAAUUGUAAAAUUGGGGGGGUGUAGGGAAGUUACUUAGUAUCACAUUCAGCGUAAGAUUUAGAUUACGGUGGGAUACAAAAGGAGUUGCUUUAUGACAGUCAUGGUUAUGUUGGUCAUGCUAGUUUAACUUUUGACUUUGUCUCUGGCUGUGUAUCCACCUUAUGACAAGAUCAUUAGUAUGGGGAUAUAAUGUUGAACUGAAAUCUAUUUGAUCAGGUUAUGAACCCAUUUCUUGUUGCUGGUUAGUAAUGUGUAUCAACUAGAGUGCAAUUUCAUGUUAUUGGAUUGUUACUUAACUGGACUAAAAGUAUUUACUUUUUUCAGCAAAACACUAGAGUGUCUUGUUGUUCUUUCUAAAGCUAGAUCUGUAUGUACAGCACAUAUGUAUUGGCAUGUUGAACAUAAGGAAACAUGAAAUUUAUUGACCAUUAUGCAUUUUUGACUGUUAUUGGAAAUCCCACACAACUGUCGUCGAUGAUUUUGCAAUUCCUUGUUAUGUUACUCUUCAAUUAGAUAGGCAUAACAAAGUCCGGUUACUCAAAAAUAUUUCAAUCACAGUAAAAUGGAAAUUAAAACUUUCGUUUGAUUCCACAUGUAACUAUACAAGGGUUUGAGUUGCAGUUAAAAAAAAAAAACGUUUAAUAGACGUUUAUUGCACUAACAAUUACAAAUAAUUUGAAGUGUAUCGGCGAGUCUAUUUAGUUUUUUUUUCCUUUUUUCUUUCUCAGGGAAACUUUGGAAUGUCCCAUCAGCAGGCCCUAGCACAAGUAACAGCCCAGGCUGCUCACUCUCAGUUCAAAAUCCAUUCUCAACCAGAGUACCCGUCUUUGCUUUCAAUUCCAGCAACAACUUGCACAAUACAUCAUAAUACCUCUGCUGUUAAUAUGGCACCGAUACCCGAUAUAUCGACUCUAUCUACAAAUAGUAAUAAUACCAAACUCGAAUCAGCUGAGGCCUCUCAAGCUGAUCAAAGGUUCCAACCUGCUCAUGUUGUCGAUAAGCCAGCUGAUGACGGCUAUAAUUGGAGGAAGUACGGGCAGAAAAUGGUUAAGGGCAGUGAGUACCCAAGAAGUUAUUAUAAAUGUACCAAUCCCAACUGUCCAGUUAAGAAAAAGGUCGAGCGAUCUGUAGAUGGCCAAAUAACUGAGAUAAUUUACAAAGGCCAACACAAUCACCUGCGACCCCCAAAUAGGCGAUCGAAAGAAGGUGGUGCUCUCCAAAGUGAGUCAGAGGAGUUUAAUGAGAAUGCAGAAAAGACUGGCAUUUCUAAUGAUAAUCUAUUAGCUUCUUCAAUUGGUAAGAGAGAUCGAGAACCAAGCUAUGGGACCCACGAGCAGUUGUCUGGUUCAAGUGAUAGUGAGGAGGUUGGUGGUGGUGAAGUGAAAGCAGAUGAAGCAGAUAAUGAAGAGCCGGAUGCUAAAAGAAGGUACUGCUUUAUAACUCCAUAAAGGUGGAAUGUAUGAUUAAUCCCCAGCUAUCUUGAUAUUGUAACCUGUUCUCCGAACUUCUUUACGUAGAAUUUUAAUCCCUAAACUUUCAUAUAUGUUGCAAUAUCAUCCCUAUCCAAUAAAAAAAAAAAGGAACUGACUUUUGCAUCAUUUUAUUAGAAAAACUACAUUUUUUUUAUUUUUUAUUUUGUAAGGUCAGGGAUGGAAUUGCAAUAUUUAGAAAGUUCAGGGAUAAGUGUUUGAGUCAAAAGAACUAGGACCAACUCAUAGUAUCAGGUCUAUACAUACAUUUAUCCCUUUACAUAUGCUAAAACUUCAUUUAUUUCAUUACUUUUGUUUCUCAAUAAUUGCUUGUGUCUAUUUAUGGGGCAGAAAUAUAGCAACUUCUUCGCAAAGGGCAUUGACUGAGCCUAGGAUCAUUGUGCAAACAACUAGCGAGGUUGAUCUUUUGGAUGAUGGUUAUAGGUGGCGCAAAUACGGGCAGAAAGUGGUGAAAGGAAACCCUCACCCAAGGUAGUCUAUUUGCUCCUUCUUAGUUAUAUGCUAUGUAUACUAUUCCUUCCAGCAAAGUUACUUUUUCUUUUGGUUUUCACAUUCAAUGUCGUGUCGGAAUUGACUUAAUUUGCAUUUGUAAAUGUUAUCUUAUUCUUGAUGUAUUUAAGAUUUUGCUGCCUUUAUAUAACUUCUUUAGCAUUUAAUAUAGGAAAGUACAAACUGAAUUUGGAUAUUGUUAUUAGCCCUCAAUUAUAUUUUCCUAUUGCUUGAAUCACCAUUAGGCUCUCUGCGUCCAAUAUUUUCAUUAGAUUAAGUUGAAAUACAUAAAUCUCAUCAAGGGAAGUAUGAAGCUACAAAAUAAUCCCUUUGUAUAUCCUAUUUCUCUUUGUUUAAUAAAAAGUAGAAUAGCUAUUCUGAUUGUGUAAUGAAUGAGCCAAAUUGUCUAGACCCAAAUUGUGAUAACAAUAAAUUGCCCUUGACGUGCUUUAUAUUAGGACUUUUUGGCUUCUUCUUAAUUUUUUAGUCACACUUUGUCUAACACUUACAGACAGGAGGUUGUGACUUUGGACAUCAGAGCCCAUUGAUCGGCUUACAAGAUAUGCUACUUUUGUUAAGCCUCUUAGCAAAGCUGUGCAUACUUGCAUGAACUGAUUCGAUAAAAUUCUAUGCUUUUAGCCUGUGCAAACUAAGAUCAAUGUUGUUAGGUGUAGUAAGAUAUUACAUAGAACUGAUUUGGCCAAAGUUCUAGCAUUUCAGCUGAAACAUUUUUUUAACUUUUUUGAAUUUAAAUACUUCAUGCGUAUGUAUAUAAAUAUAUCAUUGGUACAAUAUGCUUAAAAACAAGUGUAUUUCCAAAUGUAUGUAUGCUUGUAAAUGCAUUCACAGGUAUUUAAAUGCAUUAUCAAGUUGAUUCGAUGUGUAAGCAUACUAGUAUAUAUAAAGCAACUACAUAUUGCCAUAACUAGGAGGGGACCCUUGCUUCUUGACGUUGACCUGUUACAGAGGUGAUCAAUUAGGGCACAAGUGCCACUUUCUAGAACAAGAACCUUCUGGAGAUUAUGGUUUCUGUUGUGCUCCUUAGCUCCAAACCUUUCAUGUGGCAAUAUGAGACAUUUGUCUCAAGAAUUGACCAAUGACCUUACAUAAUUAAUAUUUUAGAAACAUAUACUGCUAAAUCACAAAAGUAGCUGUCUUUAAUUUCAUCAGUUUAACCUUUUGAUCCACUUUGAGUUUUAACUUGUGAUAUCAAAAGUAUAUAUUAGACGGGCUAAUAAUCACAUCGCUAUGAAUACCAAAGCCUCCUAAAUAUAAUAUUGUUAUAUAGGAAUGACUUAUCAGGUAUGGAGACACCCUCAACUUUAAGCCAUUUCAAAAUGGAUCCCUCAGUUUAUAUAUAUAUAUAUAUAUAUAUAUAUAUAUAUAUUAUUGACAUCCUCAACUAUUUAAGUUUUUUUCCCUUCAGUUGAGUUGAGGAUUAUUUUAAUUUCACAACUCUAUUUCCAUCAGGCAUUAACUGUUAACUAGCAAUUCCAUUAGCUGAAAAGUUGGCUGAGCCAUCGUAAUCACCAUUAAAAUUAUCGGAACCCCCAUUAUAAUAAAUGGCUGCUUUAAUUGCUGCUGUUCGUUGAGAUUUCAAAACUGACAUGCUUUGGAGGUUGGUCGUAAAAUUUUUUUAAGAAAAAUGAAGAAGCCACUUACAUUUUACUAGCCACUCAUGAAUUCUUUGAAGGUGAUGUUUAUGUUGCUGCUGAUACUUGAAAUUUCUUUAUGUCAUGUAGGAGUUAUUACAAGUGCACCUAUGCAGGCUGCAAUGUGAGGAAGCAUAUCGAGAGAGCUUCAACGGACCCCAGGGCAGUCAUAACGACCUAUGAGGGGAAACAUAAUCAUGAUGUACCAGCUGCUAGAAGCAGUAGCCACAGCAUAGCUUCCGCUUCUGUUUCUUCAAGUGGCUUACAAAAUAGAGGGCAAAAUACUCACAACCAGGCUUCCCUUAAUAGAACAGACUUCGGCAGUAGGGAUCAUCGAGCGGCCGCUGUUCUACAGUUGAAAGAAGAGAAUGAUAUAACAUGAACUCCGUUUUUUCAGGGUUUUCAUAUAUGAAAAAGUAAAAAAGCUCAUGCAUGUGCUGCCAUUCAUUGGAGUUAACAGGAGAGGUAAACUGACUGCAUUUUGCUCGAGUUAGGCCCAAAUUCUUACGAGUGUUAUUCUUUUUCUCUUUGCAAACAUCAAAGCCGUGCUGUUGUUUCUGCUUGAUGACACGACAUCCUUUGCAGGGGAAUCGCUUCUCAUCUGUCAAAUGAUGCACCUGCCCCAGCUUUUAGUUGAUAUAUUUUGUUGUACAUUUUAUAAGUUCAUACACAAGUAAUUAAGACAAUAACAAACAAAAUGGAGAAAUUUGUAUAUUUAUUUGAGAGUUGUGUAUAUGAUUUUGUUGUGGUUGAAUUCUAAAGUUGAUGCGUGAAUUCUUUUCGUCUUCCCUUUGUUUCUUUUCUAAUUGAGGAAAAUGUGUAGAGCUUGCACACUGAGACAUUUGUUGUGGUUUAUAUAAAUGUUAAACACAAUCUUACUUCAUUUAUGUCGAAUGAACGAAUCGUUUCGCGUGUACUUUCUUCAGCUUUUUUUGUUUCUCGUUUCUCCUUUUUCUGGCUAAAUUGCUUCUGUAGGCCUCAAACUAUGAGGAAUUCUUGGCUUGAGCUGUUUUGAAGUGUUCUAAUCAAGGACUGUUGUUAGAUUCCUUCCUCGAUACUGACGGUACAGUGAUAUGGUAUUGAUGUGACGGUGACGUUCGUCAUGCUAAAUAGUUUUUUAAAAAUAAUUUGUAGGUAAAACAUUCAAAAAUUUGCUAUCACAUUCAAUGCAAUGAACCGCCUAUUCAAACCAUUAAAGCUCAACUUGAAGUCUAUUUUGAACCUAUUCCAUCUCUUUGUUCACAUCAUAAGAUUUAAAAUUUCGUAACAUAUUCAAGCACAACACCCGACCUGAAUUUGAACAACUUAUCUGAAUUACGAACCAUAUACACAACUGGACCCGAGUAAACAACAAAGCAGGCCAAGUUUCAUGCAGUAUCAAAUUCGUCUGGUCCGGGUCUGGCUCUCGAUUCGCAGUAUCCAAAGUUUCUCGGUUCGAGCUCUGCCCAGUAAACAGUACAGAACUAGUUAGGUCAGAUUUGUGCAGGUCUGAAACAUGUGGUUCAGGAAUGGCUUUCAAUAUUCAGCAUCAGCAUGUAGGAAUCACAAUUUCACAGGUUCAGAGCUCAGUAUCUAUCUAUUUAAUUGAUUAAUUAAUUCUUCAGAGGAAUUUAUAACCGUUGCUCUCACCGUCGCAAUUUGAUGUCUCGAUCAGGCGACAUAGUUGAUAAAUUAUUGCCACAAUACGGUGACAGGAACAAUUAUUCUUGGUUUAUUGAGAAAACUCUGUAUUAUGGUCGAAUAUCAGAUUAUAAUUGAAGGGAAAUGAUUAGUCUGAUCUGUUUCUAGAUAGUAUGAUCAACCAGGUUGGGGCUAGAUUGCGAAUGACGUCGCGAAUCUUAGCCCGUGUCUCAAUUAUUUUAGCCUUACUUUUAUCUACUCUUUUUAACCUAACUUUCUCUGGUUCUCAUUCAGCUGCAUUCUAUUAAAGUUACAAAUAAGAAUAUCAAGAUAUAUAUAUUUUAUGAAAAUAUUUUCUCAUUUAUAAGCUUAAACUGAGAAUAGGAGUAUAUGAUAAGUUCACAUCAUGACCUCCUUACACUAUGGUGGCAUAUUAAAUGAUGCUGCUUUCACCCACCAAAAAAAAAAAAAAACGCUGCUAACAUAUUAUGUACGUAGCUAAUUCAUGUUUAGCAAUUGAAAAAAAAAGACAAUUACUUAUAUAUCCCUAAAAAGUUUUCGAGCUAAUUUUAAAAAUAUUUUUUUAACGUUCCAAGUUCUUUCAAAUAUAUCUAUGAGUUAGAUUCUGUUUUGGUGAACCGUUAGAAACAACCGUUAUCUCUAUAAAAUUAUUAUUUUACUGUCACUAAUUUUUCUUAUUUUUUCUUAAGUUAGGAGGCAAAAGGAGGUAUUUUAACUUCUUCUCUUUCAAAUAUAUCCUUCUAUUAUUUAUCCUUAAAUCAAAGGUAAAAGAGAUAUUUUGAUUUUUUUUUUUAACUCUAAUAGAAAUUUAAUCUGGGUUUAAUGUGAGAUGACUUAACAACUACUAACAGUAGGGACAUUUUUGAAUAAUAGAGAAAUAUACGUUGAAACAAGAAAAAAAUAAAAAUAUUUCAGAUAUUUCAGAAAUUUUAAAAGAUGUAUACUCAAUUAUCCCUUAAAAAAAAUAAAAUAAAAUAAAAUAAAUCUAUGCUAACGAAGAGUGGAUAUGACUGGUAGGAGAGAGAGACCCUUGUUGUGGAGAGGGAGUCUAGGGACAGCAGGACAGUUGAACAAAUGGCAUCAUCAGCUGCAGGGGGUUAGACCAGUCAGAAGGUGGCUACAAAUUUGCAGGCUUAAUACAAGAUACAGGUAUGUAUCUUUGUUUUCUAGUACCUUAUCCCAUAUUCUGCUCAUUCUUUAAAACCUACAGGUUAAGCAAUUUGUCAACAAAAGGCACCAAACCCCUUCUGAGUUUUCUCCACAUCCCCAGUAAAAACACCCCCAUCUGCUUAUCACAUUCUCACAAGGGUAUCUCUGCAGAUGCAUUUCACCACAAGAGAACAGAUACAAGAGUUUCUCCAACUCCAUUACUUUAAUGAUUCAAUCCCACCCCUAAUAAAUGGGACUCAAAUGGCCUAAUCUUCUAAUAAAUAUGUUAUUUUAUGUCAGUAGAAGAAUGAGGCUUCUCCACUAGCUAGGUUGCUUCUCAAAUGAUUGAGUGCUACAUGUAUAUCUAUCUGCACAGCUUAAUACCAAGGCUCACAUGUCUAUGAUUUGAGAAUAAUAAUUAUACAAGAGGGCUGUGUGAAGUAGCUAUCAGCUUCCUCAAUCACAGGCAUAUAUAUUUUUUUUUCCCUUGUUUUUGCCUAUACAUGCAAAAGGUGACAGCUAGACCCUAAUUUGGCCCUUUAGUCACAUUUUGUGUUAAGUAAUUUUAAACAUUUACUAUUUCCUAAAAACUCAAGUUGUCAAAAAUUGUUGUUUUUUUAAAUACCUCACUUGUGAUCUCGAGAUAUUUUGAACAGAGCUAGGAGUCUGGUGAGACUCAAAACUCAGAGCUUUCUGGUUUGAUACUCUAUGAAAAAUGUGAAACAAUCAUUGUUUUAUAAAAUAUUUAAGUUAUUUGAGAAUGAUGAUAUUAAAUGUUUAUAAUUCAACAUUUUGAGUAUUGUGGAAGCAAGAUUUAAAAUCCUUUUGUGUAGAGAGCUAUACUAGUUUUGGUGAUGGGUUUGUCCUUUUGCACCCCAAAAGGGCAUCUAUUAUCUGUUGAGUCAAGAAAACGAAGCAAUCAAAGAGAGAAAAGUCUAGUGAGUUUGCUCCACAAGCAUUCCUUAAUUUGCACAACCUGAUAUGAGAGCCAGGUCUUCUUUUGCUUUAAUUUCUAUACUCUUGGGAGACAUAUAUAGGUUGGGCAUUUGAUGUUGAAAAUGCUACAAUUUUCUAGCUUGUUUUGAAAGAUAUAUAAAAUGGGCUUUAAACUCUUUUUAUUUUGAUUAAAUUUGAAAGCAUGCAUGAUCUACUGGAACUCAAAACAGCAUCCUCCUCCAUCCCCUUCCCAUGACAUGUCAUUGUGUUUUAGAUGGGUUCUGCCUUAAGUUCCAAUCCAGAAUUUUCUUUGGAAAAAUAUAUAAAGACCUCAUAAACUUUCUCAAAUAGUGGAUAUGCCUCUUUUUACGAGGAAAGUUACUAAUUAAAUAGCUAUUUUGAACGCAUUUAUUGCACAUAAUUUUUAUAAUUUUAAAAUUUAUAAAAACCCUAUUUUUCCUAUCGUUGGCUAUGAUAAUUAUUAAAUACCAAAUAUAAAUAAACACCGUUCUGUAAGAACUUAGGCUUUUAGAGUACAACGAUUAUUUCACAUAUCAGAGUAGGAGAUUCUGAGUUCAGUUAUGCUAGACUCUGAAUAUUAUUAAUUUUCUUUCAUUUAAUUCAGGUCUACGUCAUGAGUUUUGCAAAAAAUCUCGAGUCCAGAUGUGAGGAAAAGUUUAAAUACAAAAGUAUAUAAACACUGUUCUCUAAUGGCUUAAGUUUUUAGAAUACAACAGUUGUUUUACAAUAACUAAGCAUUAGGAGUGUAGAAUAGAGUGAACUUACUUUCGAUUUUUAUACUCUUUUUUUUUUCCAUAUGUUAGAAUAGAAAAAUUAAAUUUUACAAGAUUAUAUGGAAUACAAUUAACUAAAACAACUGUGUAAUUAAUCAUUUCAAUUGUUUAAUUGGCAAAUUUAAAAAUUCAAAUGUUUAUUUGCAAAAUGCUAAAGUUCAAAGAGUCUUUAUACAUUUUUCCCCUUUUCUUUUGACUUCAAAAGAGUUUUAAAAAGAUUCUCAGUAAAAACUGUUAAAAUUUAAAAGCUCCAAUAUUGGCAUUUCUGCAAAGCUUUUGGUGUUGAGUGAAUAAUAUUUACUAAAGAAAUUUUAUCAACAUGAUUCCAAUAAUAUGAGUUUCUACUGAAACCAGUUUCAACUUUAUAAUCAAAUAAAGAUGCCAUGCUUCAUGUUGUUCAAAUACUCAAGUAGUGCUCUUUGUAAAAUUUCCAUACCAAAAAAGAAACAUGAUAUCCUUAUCUUAUUAAUGUCUCUGCAUAUUUUAAAUGUGUUUUACUGUUGAAUAUGACAUGAAAAUCUACAACUAUUUUAACCCUUGAUUUUUUCCAAAUUUAAAUCAGGCGAUUUAGUGUCCUAGUGCCUUUACAGCGAAAAAAAAAAUAUAUAUAUAUAUUAUAAUAAUCUGAUCCGCUAGUGAUAAUAAUUUGUUUGGCCAUAAAUAUUAUUAGUAGGGUCUAUGAUCUCUUAUAUAUAUAAUUCAAUUCCGUUUUGUGAGAUUAUUACGAUGUAAGACCUUAUAUAUUUUUAAUUAGGAUUUUUGUUUUUCCAUCCAAUGUAGGCUACUGGGGCAUGACAUAUAUACUUUUAAUAAAGUGAAAAUGUUUGUUUAUAAUGAUGAUAUUUUUUUCUCAAAAAAGUAAUAAUUUUCUAUAUUUUAUACUUUUCUUUAUUUUUUUGGAUAAUUUGCAUAAAAAAAUGCAUUAGUUUUGCAUUUUUUGCAAAGACAGUUUAAAUUUUGCGGACUUAAAUAGUUUAGACUUUUAGAGAUUUAACCAAAAUAUCUUUAUUACUCUGACUCCUUUCUCUCAUCCCGCUCAUAUCCUUCAGCACUUGUUAUCAUCAUCAUCGCCGUCAUUGCCCUCUUUCUCUUCCUCCUCCUCCACUGUCUCGGUCGUGAAUUUGAAAAAUACUAUUUGUACAAACAAUAUAGAGAUCGAUAUACAUAUUACAUUCUUAGAAACAAUGUUUUCCAAUUUUUUAAGUGUAAACAAAGUAUAUUACUUAUUUGAAACUAUAUACCCGAAGCUUUUAAAUUUUGAUUUUACUAUUCAAUCUAUCAAAUUAUUUGAUUUGAGUCCGUCAAUUGCAAUUAGACUUUAAAAUUUAAGCUAAUUACAUAUUUUAAUAAAUUUAUAAUUACAAGAAUUAAAUAAAAUAUACUAAUUAAAUCUGUAAAGAUAGAUGACAUAUUCAAAAAUUAUAAUUUAAUAAAAUAAAUUGAAAAGUUGGAUAGUAAAAAUUAAAAUUUUAAAAAAUUUUGAUAGUCAACUCAAAGUGGUCUAUCGCUCAGAUAAAUCAUAUAAAUUUUUAUCUAAAAAAAUUAAUAAGAUAAGUGAAUAAAUAUGAACCACAAAAUCGUUAGGAUGCGACUGCCGCACGAAAUCUGCUGCAACAGCAAGAAGGGAGAGGGAGAAGGAGGAAGAGUCCUGGUCACCAUGAUUUUUUUUUUUUCUUACAAUUUCUCUCUCCUAUUAACUGAAUUAGGGCUAUGUUGAGAAAUGUUUUAAAAAGAGAUUAGAUUGAGUUUUUCCUUUUUUUUUUUUUCAGGAGGAUGCUAGGUAUAGUUUUGAGUCAAUUUGUCUAUAUAUUUUGCUAUUUGAUAAAUAUAAAAAAUUAUAAAAUAAUACAGCAUACUAUCAAAUAAUACAAAUAUAAUAAAAUAAAGAAAUAUUGAAAAAAUAUAAUUUUAUGUCAUUAUAUAUUGUACUAUUUUUACGAUCUGUUGUACUAGUCAACUAGUAUAAUAUAUGGUUAAAUAGUGUCAUACUUUAUUCUCUUUAAUGAAAAAAAUUUUAAAAAAAUAAAAGAAGAAAAAGAAGGAGGUGAAUACUGAGGUGAAUUUCCUUUCUCUCCUAGUGUGCACGUCCUCUUUCGGCUCAGGCGCCUUGCCGCAUACUAGGGAUGUCAAUGGAUAUGAAUAUCCGAAAGAUUGUUGGAACCCGAAUCAGAACGAGACGAGUUUACCCGAGCUUAACGGGUAUGAAUUCGCUUAUGGGUAUAGAAAAUAAAAGUCCGAUGGAUAUGGAUACGAGUAUGGAUUUCGUAUUUACCCGAUCCGAACCCGAACCCGACCCGAACCCGAAUAAAUUAUAUAUAUACAUACUUUAUUUUUAUUUAUUUAUAUAAUAUAUAAAAUAUUUAAUAAUUUUAUCCCUAGAUCUUCAUUCAACGGUAUGGAUUUUUAAAAUCCGCCGGUUUCGGAUCUGAGUAUGGGUUUUAAUUUGGUUUUCGGGUUGAGGUUCGGAUUUUUAAAAACCUGAUCCAAAUUCGACUCUUUGACAUCUCUGCAGCACACCGUCGUUUCGAAUUGUGCUACUAUCCAAAUCCUCACUUCUACGAUCGGUGCCGCCACCGUUGGCGGCAGCGGAUAUGUGGGUGAGAUAGCGUAAAGAGUGUGGCGAUGACAUGCGAAUAAUAAAAAAAGAGAAAGAAGAGAAAAGGGAAAGAAGAAGAAAACGAUCAAAAAAAAAAAUCAAAUAUUAAAAAAAAUCAAUCUGAAAAUGUAAAAUGAAAAAAAAAGAGGAUCGGAUUUUGUAAAAAAACAUAAAACUAAUAAUAAUAGAUUUUGUAUGAAAAAAAAAAAAAAAAGCUCCAACUCUCUUACAAAGAAUCAAUUGUCACAACGUGAUAUACCACGGUCACGCCACCCAACCCACCUAAAAAGUGAAAAAAAGGGGCCUGGCUCGUGGCUAGAACGUAGCAAAAACCGAGGCAUUGGGAAGCUACAAAGCCUACAAUUUCGUAGUUAUAGAAACAUGCAGGGGUAAAAAGGGAAAUUUACAGCCGCUUAUCAAUUGAUCUCAUUUGCCUCAAGAGACUCACCAACCAGAUCUACGGUCCCUUGCGAGAAAAAGGUUUCACAUGACCACCCAAAAAAUAAAAAAUAAAAAAUAAAUAAAUAAAAAGACACCCCAACUCAUCCCAAAAAUUAUUGCCUGCACCAGGUGUAUUAAUACAUCUUAUAUACUGUAUUUUUAAAAUUUUGCGACAAAGAUCUUAAAAAUUAAAAUUUAGAAUUUGAGCUCUGUCCUAUGUACUAUAUCCUUAAAACUCUAAUAAGAUCAAAGUUUUUUGAUCUCUCAUUUGGAUGCUGAUAAAAUGAGACUCGAGUAGCUAUUUUUGAAAACAAAAAUAUAAUAGAUAUAUUGGAAUAAAAAAAAACCCAACUCUCCGAGUUAUUAUCUGCAUUAUGUGUAUUAGUACAUCUUACAUACUAUAUCGAUAAAAUAUUAUAAUCUUAAAGUUAAAAUUUUUAUAUAGAAUUUUGAUUAAAAAUUCAGAAAUUAAUCAUUAAUUCGGCGUUUAUAAAAUAGAACUUGAGUACUAAUUUUUUUUUGAAAGAAGUCAAAUAUAAGAUAAUUAAAGUGCAUGGAAUUUCCUUAUACACCCGGUGCAGGAAAUAAUUUCUCCAACUCCUCGCCACUUUUCCCCAUAAAUCUAAGUCUCACUGAAUUUAUGUCUCUCUCUCUCUCUCUCUAUCAAACCCUUCAUCUCCCAUCUCUUCUCCUCGCCAUUGUUGUGGUCGCUGAUGCUACAAAAGCUCUGAAGCUUUGUAUGAUUAGCUACUGUGCAACCCACAUUUCGAGAGAGAGAGAGAGAGAGAGAGAGAGAGAGAGAGAGAGAGAGAGUGAGCACAACCAAUUUUUCUCUUUCUCUCUCAUGGUGAGCAUUUGCUACUUCUUGGUUUUCGCCAUAUCCUGUUUGUGAGAGAGAUUUUUGCUGGAAAUGAGGAAGCAUGGGUGGGAACUUCCUUACCAUCCUCUCCAGGUUUGAUUUUUCCGAUUUUUUUUUUUUUAAAAACGCAUUUUUUCUUUCAUUUUGUAGCUCUGUUUAGGUUGAUUUUUUUUUUUAAUCCUUGUUUUUGAUUUUUUUUUUAAUGUGUGCAGGUGGUGGCAAUAGCGGUGUUUCUGGCUCUAGGGUUUGCUUUCUAUGUGUUCUUUGUCCCCUUUGUGGGGAAGAAGCUCUUCCAGUAUGUGGUGAUGGGGCUCUACACUCCUUUGGUGAGCCAUUUCACUCACUCUAAUGACCCAAUGCCCCUUUUUUCCCUUUUUUACUUGCUAAUUUUUAUAGUUUGGAUCUACCACCCGGUGUUGUUUGAUGGGUUUUUAGUUGCUGCUUUUAGGGUUUCACCAGAUCCAGUAGACAUUGCAGUGAAGUGGGUUUGUCCCGAUUUUUGAUAACUUUUAUAGUUUUCUUUUCCUUUCCAAUUUUUGUUUGUGGAGAAUGGGGGCAUGGGGGCAUUAAAUGCAUCUCUGCAAAAUUAGUUGUCGAAAAUCCUGUUAAAUUCUAUAAACAACCAUUUAUCUUCAAAAGCGUAAGCUACCAGAGAAUGGUGUUUUUAAUAUUACAGUCAACGUCUAGCCUCGUGAUUUUUUGGUAGUCUCAAAACGUAGACGAAUUAUACGGGAGGAAAUUAAAUGAAGCUAGGAGCCUGACAAGACUCAAACUCAGGGCAUGAGCAUCAUGCCCUGAUGCCAUGUUAAAUUAUAUGAAACAAUCAUUUAUCUCCGAAAGCUUAACCUAUCAUAGAACGGUGUUUUUUAUAUUUACAUCUAGCAAAUCAUAUUGCGGUAUUCAUAGAAGCUUAUACCACCUCAUCACAUGGCAGUGUAGUGAAACCUGUGGCUUGAAUCAUGAAAUGCUAAGAACAUAUAAAUAUCAUAAAAUUGUGAAUGAGAAAAAAGGUAUCAAGUUAGGGAGUUUUUCACCGUCAUUCCUAUGUUUGUGCAAGUGUUUUUUUUAAUCAACUAUAUAAUUGCCAAAACAUUAGUGACGUAUAUGUAAUUUAGGCAUGCCAAUGAUAAAGAUUGUACUUCAGAAGUAAUGACCAGAAAUGUCAAUUAAUUUUUGCCUCAGACCUGUUGAUUCUCUAGCCAUGAUCAAAGGCAAGAAGAGUUUUCGUGCAUAGUUUCAUCAUUAAGCUGCUUUUCUCUCUUCUAAUUUGUAUUUUGAGAGAAUUGGUUGUACAUAAUGAGGACAAUUUCAAUUCUACACCUAUUGAGAAGUGUGAAAAGCUCAGAUAGAUUAUUCUUGGACAUUUUUUAAUUUUCUCAAAAAUUAAUGGGCGCAUGCUUGCUAGUUCUUCCAUUUGGUUCGAAAAGAAGGUUUCUCACGCUCUUCAAAGUGGUACCUUUCCUUGCAGUUUUUCUAGCUAAAUCUUAUUUAGCACAAAAUACACGACAAUUUUGGUUAUGUUACAAGUAAGUGCCAAAUUAGGUAUGGAGUUGCAACCAAAACAGAUCCUUUUUAAGUUAAUCAGAAUAUCAAUAUCCUCAUUCCAUUUAUGAUAAUGAGUGCGAAAGCGUCAACAAAUGUUCUGCGAUCUGUUUUUUUAAACUGUCUUUUUUCCUUUUCCAACUGAAUUUGUUGAGUACUUAUUAAAUCUUCUGAUGAAAUGUAUGAUGAAGUCAAUUUGUACCAUUAUAAUGAUGAUAACUAAAGUUAUUUUGUGUACUAAUUACGAUUCUAGCCUCUACGCACAAUAUGUACUGAUAUAUUUGUUCUCCAUCAGAUUACAUGUGUCUUCCUGUUGUACAUCUGGUGUGCCGCAACGGAUCCCGGGGACCCUGGUGUUUUCAAAUCGAAGAAGUAUGUGAAAGAAGUUGACAAUGGAAAACAGACUCAUAAUAAGGAAUCAGGACAAGUAGUUUCAAACAGUGAAUUACAUACGGCAACAACUGGAGAAAAGGCUGUUCCUGAGGGCCUCAGCACUGUUGCUGCUACUGACAAAUCAUAUGAUCAAAAGGAGGGGGAGAGUUCAUCUAGCUGCAGUAGAGCUUUUCUGGCCCUGUUUUUCCUAUGCCGUCCUCUUUGUUUUCUGGGCAAUUUGUGCCAUUCACAUGAACAGUCCUCUGAACAGCAAAUGAGUGAAGACGGCAUGUUUUUCUGCAGCCUAUGUGAAGUGGAGGUAUGUAGUCUGCAUUGAAUAGUUGAUUCUAAGUGAUGUUAUUUUUUGAUCAUUCAAGCUUCGCUUUGCCUCCUUUCCCAAGAUUGAGUAUAUUGGUCAAUGCAAAACCUCAGCAUGUUAAGUUGCAUGAGAAAAUUUCUGAUGAUGAUGCAGCAAAUCAUUAUUGAACGACAAUCAUCACAACAAUGGGAUAAGCUAUUAAAAUCUUGCUGCUUUUAAAAAGGUUCAAUAUAAGCAAAUUUGUGUUAACUAUGGCAAAUGUAUAGUAAUAGAGAAUGUGUAACCCUUUUGCCUUUCAUAGCUAUUAGUUGAUAAAUUAUACUAUCUGAUUAAACAAGUUUUGUGGGUUCAUUGACUCUAGUAUGCACCAAAUUUGGAUUCUAACUGUGUAAAAUGCUCUCUUCCACAUGAUAAUAAGUGGCAUAACUUCUUUGAAGAUAAACCAUUUAACUGCUCUAUGUCGAAUAAAUGUUGUUUGGAUUUCAUAUAGGUUUUGAAGUACAGUAAGCACUGUAGGGUUUGCGACAAAUGUGUUGAUGGAUUUGAUCAUCACUGCAGAGUAAGACCUCUGGUUAUUAUGCUCUGUUCUCCUUUCUUGAGUAUAUAGAAUUAUAAUCUUAUGCUUCUUUCUUUGUAGUGGCUCAACAAUUGUAUAGGAAGAAGGAACUAUAGAAGGUUCUUCAUCCUCAUGAUUUUUGCGCUUCUCUUGGUAAGCAUAAAAAUGUCUUCUACUGUUUAGCUUGUGACAGAUGGAUUGGGUAGUUACCAGGAACAUAACUGUUGCCAUAACCAUGUAAUCCUUUUCUUCCAUUGCAUUAAAGCCCUUUUUCUAUGUCUAGUCCCAACUUGGGAAGGAGAAAUUAUUGUCUGGACCAUAUCUAUAGACCUGAUUAAAAAAAACAGCAUAACUGAUUGCUGAGGAAGCUGUUUUUGGUCCCAGAAAAUAAUUGAAAAAAAUAAAAGAUCCCCUCGUCGGGGUUAUGUGUAGUAUUUUAACUUGCAUUGCCUACAAACGACAUGGUAGACUGGAUACCAGCAAUACUUUCUUGUCGAGCCACUAUUAAAUAUCAUGCUGGCAUGACUUCUGAAAAAACUUCUCUAUAUAUAUGUCAAAAAUCAAGUAUUGGGCAAACUAACCAAGUGAAGCUUUUUGCCAUUGCAGAAAGCCUAAUGAGCUUCCAAGACUAUAAAGCAGAAAAAUACUCUUUGAAGCUUCUAAAUCACAACCCCCCCCCGGCCCCAACAAAAAAAUGAAAAAACUAUUCUUAUUCGAAAGUUUUUCUCAAAUAACACUUCUUCACAAGUUCUUGUGGGGUCAAAGAAGCCUCUUGAGUCAUGCCUGCAGACCUGGCAGUCAAGAAAUGUAGAUAGCAUUUUUGUUCCAUGUCCUUUUCAUUCUGGUUGAUUAUUGACAGGUCAUGGUUUAUGCACAUUGGGCCAGCUUAUACUGGAAUGGUCAGUGGGAGUGCUUGUGCUGAUUCUCUGCUUCCUCAAGCGGAAGGAAUACUCUGCGGAGAUCGUUUCAAAGCUAGGAAGCAGCUUUUCUCUUCUGCCUUUUGUUAUUGUAGUGGUGAGUUUGCAGUGUUUCUGUUUUUCUAUUUCUCAACUAUAUUAUUUGCAUUCAUGUAGAAUUUUCAAAAUUUAGUUGAAUUUGAUACUAAAAUCUAUCCAUUUAUAGAGUCAAAAAAGUUUUUAAUUAGGCCCUUUCAGAAUUGUUGGUUCAACGCUUGAUUGAUAAUAGGCUAUGUUCACAGGCAUCCUGCACCUUACUGGCAAUGGUUGCAACACUACCACUCGCUCAGCUUUUCUUCUUUCACAUUCUUCUUAUUAAGAAGGUAAGUAUUUAUUGUAUUUCAUCUUUGUUGGAACUAUCUAUGAUAUUCUAGUGUACAUUAGCGAAUUCUUACGGAAUGGUUUGUUCUGUAAAAGAAAACUUUUUACAGCCGGAAACUUUUGGCAUUUAAGUUUAGUCUAUAUAGAUUAUGAAAGCAUGUAUCUUGUAAAUCUUCACAUGUAACAUUUUAACUUCCUUAUGUAUACCUCCAAUAGUUGUAACACUGUAAUGGAUAGUAUAGUAGGAAUUGGCUCCAUUAGGCUCCAGCUUCCUCUUGGCUUAAUGAAUAACCUCUACUUUAACACUCAUUAUUUUGAAACUAUAUUACUGUUAUUUCUCUUCUGCCAAUAACUAAAUUUGCUAAUCAUGCGUACACGGGUGCACAUCCAGGGCAUUACUACAUACGACUACAUCAUAGCUUUAAGAGAGCAAGAGCAGCAACAAGAUGUUGCUGGCCACCAAAGUCCGCAGAUGUCUCAGGUGAGCUCUAUCACGGGGCUUAGCAGUGCUAGUUCUUUUGGCACAUUUCACCGUGGCUCAUGGUGCACCCCUCCUAGAUUAUUCCUUGAAGAUCAGGUACAUGUGAAUUCUUACCUUUCUAUCAAUUUUCUUAACAAUAACACUUUCUAAUAUAGACACUACCUCACCUAAAUCCAUUUUCAAUGGGUUCCUGAACUGCAAUUUUAGUAUGUAAGCUUUAAUUUUAUUGUAGAACCUCUCCAAAUCAUCUCUAAACUUAAUGGUCCCACCAAAAAAUUCAAUAGAAUACUACACAAUGUAACAGAAUAGACAAUUAGGGUAAAUUACUUUUAUCAAAGAAAUUGCUAAUACUGUUUACUUCUGACUGAGGUAUUAAUGAUAAGUUGUUGAAUGGAAAAAACUUCAAAAUUUUAUACCCAUUUGAAAAUGCACUAUAGUUUAAACAGCAACUGUAUGCUUCAAAUUUCAUGAGUUUUUGACUAGGCACUUCAUCCUUUGCACACAGUUUGAUGUUGUUCCUCCUGAGAUUGGCACAUCUGUAAAUUCCACUGGAAAGAAGAUAAGGGAAGAAGAAAAACCCAGGAGAAAAGCUGCGGGAACCGUGAAAAUUAGCCCUUGGACUCUGGCCCGUCUUAAUGCAGAUGAGGUUUCGAAAGCGGCGGCAGAAGCAAGAAAGAAAUCCAGAGUUCUUCAACCAAUUAAUAGACGAGAUGUUACUCCUCUUGGCCAUGAAACAGAUAAUAGCUACAGAAGUUCAAGUAACCGAACAAUUCCGAGACCUGAUAACAAAAGGCGAGUGAACAAAAGAGGAAAGAUCCCCACUGAACCGUCUUUCGAACCAUUGGCAAAAAUAUCAGCCAGUGCUACUGAUACGAAUGGCAGUGAACUUGGACCAGAAACUUCGACCAACUUAGCCCCACUCCAGCUUGAAGCGAGAAGUGCUUUUCGACCGAGCAGAACAGCUUCCGCUAGAAAUACUGUCAUUUCUUCUCCAGAAAGUAGCUUGGAGUCUCCUGAUUUACACCCAUUUCGCAUUUCUUCAGGAGCUGAAGAUGCACAAGGUCUAUCUUCGAUGCAGGUUCCAGGAAGUAAUGCUGCUACACAGAAGGGGAUUGAAUUUUCGAGAUCAACUAGUGAUGGGUACGAAGCUUCAGGGGGUGAAGAUAGUGACCGGAUCCCUUCACGAAUUGUUCACAGAUCGGCCAAUUGGGCUAAUGUCAUGCUCAGUUCCGGUCGUGGUGAGAUGAAGAGCGACCAAAAGGGAUCAUCCUCUGGAGGGCUUUUAAGUAACGCUAGAGUGCCCUAAAGGGAGGUGGUAUUUAGUUUUUCUUUCUUUUUGUGUUUUUCUAUUUUUAGUUUCAAGCCUAAUCAAUAGCAAGUCAUGGUGGUUUAUAUGGAAAUCGCUACAAAUCCUGUAUGAAGCUGGAUAAUGGUUCUGAAGGAGGAUACUGUUUAACAAGAAAAAGAAAAAAAAAGGGGGGGUACUUUUUGUUGUACUGGUGCAUCUGGUAUUAUUGCUUGUCUCAGUUAAUGUUAACCAGAUAGCAUUGCCAGAAACAUACUUCUAUUAAUUGUUAUUCCUUUAGUGCUGUAUCUAUGCCGUAUCUGUGACUCAAAUCAGUAUUUCUUCUUUCCCAGCUUUUAAACAAUGUGAUUACUGAGGUAGUUCUUUGUGAACUCUUUUAGAAUUCGACAGCUAUGAUGCAGUAUCUUUUGUUGUCCUUUAUAGUUGUGAUACUUAUUUUCUUUUCAUGUCACAGCUGUGAUUACUGAAACAAAUGUUUUUAGUUUGCUUUUGUGACAUUAUUUUGUUGGAAUAUUUUGCUGAUUAGAGAGGCUGGUUAGCAGCAUUAUUUAAAGCCCUCCUGCUAUUGAGACCAAACGUAUAUUUUUUUAAUGGAAUCAUACAGAUCAUAUUUUAAUCAAACUAGUGCAAUUAGCACAGCAUGUUAUAACUUACGAAAACAAUCAUAUUAUAUUUUUAUUGUGCUUUCUAACCAAAUAAAAAUACAUUACCUUAGAAAGGAGCCUUGUAUUUUAUUCCACAUCUGAUAUGAGCUUGUUUUGCUUGAUCAAAUCUAAUGAUACAUAGCAUGCAACAACCAACAGUAGCUGCUUAGUAUCUAACAAUACCACUGCAAAAAUGCACCUUGCACAAAAUUGUUUAAUAGUUAUGCCCAUGGGCUUCCUCACUCUCAAAAAGGAAUAAAAAAAAAGAAAAAGGUGAAACCAGGCAAUGGUUAAGUUUAAGGAAAAACUCUAUCAACAUCUCCCUUAGAACAUCUCCAUAUAUAGAUGCAGGUAAGGAAUAAUUACAAUAAGCAGCGAAGAAGGGUGUUAUUACAAGGUAUUAGCAUCAUUCAGCUGGUAUCUGAAGUAACUCUCGGAUGCCUUCACAUACCUGUUAAGUGAAAAAUCGAAUCAUCGUCAUGCAUGGAAUCAAAUAAUACUAAUGUUAAUUACCACUGACAACAUUCUGAUUACAAAACCGAAAGGACAUAAUGAAAGAAAUUAAAAUGUUCCAUAUUGAAUUCUGAGGAAUAAUGAAAAAUGCAUACCAACUUGAUCUGCGCUUUGAUGUUUGCAAUAAGGUGUGUAUAUUCCUCUAUUUCUCUGACAUUACAUGAAAAUGCAUAAAGAGAAAAAGCUUAAACAAGAAUGAACAUAGAAGUACUAAGAAAAGGAGAUAAAAAAGGAUGUAAACAAGGGAAGAUGAUGCUGCCUCAUGUUCUCAAGGUAGACGGGGUAAGCAAAUGUAAAAAAUAUCUAAGAUGAGUUCACCAGCUUCUCGAGUUUGCCCCACCACUGUCCGUCAAUGUUAUAAGAAAGCAACAAACUCCCAAGCAAAGUUAAAAACAUAUACUUAGUUCCUCCUCAUAUGCAAAGUACGAUGAAUAACAACACUGUCCUAUUUAAUCAUCUUUUAUCAAUGACAUGCAUCUCUGUCUCCCUGUCCUGUGUAUGCAGUGUUAACUAAACUACAAAGAAUUUGAUCACUUCCAAUUAAGAAGGUUGCAUUACCUGGCCAACCUUGCCUCCCUCACUGAGAUGAACUCCAGUGCUUCUGACCAAGUGAAUUCUACAUGAAAACCCAAACCAAUGUCUACAAAUAUGCGGCGUGUAUCAGGCCUGCACAAAUGAUCAUAGAGAAGAAAUAUAUCGCACUCAAAUAAAAUAAACAUGAUCCGGUUAAAAGAUAAAAUACAACAGAGUCAGAGAAAUCAAACAUUUGCUGCACAGGUUUUCAUGAGUUACACAACAUCUUACCUAUCUGAAGAUGAGUCGCCAACAAUUAAUAGUUUAAUGUACCAACAUGUUUAUGUGAAUUAGAAGAGCCAGACAUAAUUUCUCGUGUAAAUUGAGUCCAUGAAAUCAAAGUAAAAUGAAGCAAGGAGCCGAAAUUUACUUCAAAGCAAAAGUAAAACAACAAUGGUUUGAUAAAUUACAGAGACUGGUUCCAUGAGAUACAUUGCAUGCGGGACAUGAAGACAUGAUAUAUAUUACAUCUCUUGAGGCUGACUUGUUGGCCCCACAUGUACGCAUAACAAUUGUGAGUUUAUAAAGUUUCUCAAAAGACUACUGACCUUGAGAAUUGCAAUGUGGGAGUAGAAAAAGUUUAUGUCAUUACCCAGUACCCUCCUGGUUUGUUGAGUGCCCAAGAAAUAAAGAAACAUGAGAACAUUAACUGGUUUCAGUGUAAAUUUUUGGUGCUGAAUAACAGGUGAAUUUCUGAUUUGCUUAUGCAACUUCUACAACUAAGUAAUAAACUAAAAAACUUAAAUCUUUACGAAUAACACACUAUUACCAGUGGAUGACAUCGGCGCCAAAUAAAAUAAACACAAACUUUCGACCUUUGGUCCUUCGACCCUUCUUUUCACAAAUUUUUUGCAUAACUAUCCAAGAAACUUUGUAGAAGUAACUAAGUAGAGAUCUGUCGAGUACUAUAUCCACCAAUUUAAUCUAAAAUCCCUAUUAAAAUCAUGAUCCUAAGUCUACUUGGUUUAAAUUACUUAUGUUGAUGAGCCCACUGCUAUUAAACUGCAUAUAUCAAGUCCAUCAAGUGAUCAAAUCCAAACCCAGUGCACUAAACUGAAUCAAGUUAAACUACUAGAAUCAUUUUGACCCCUUUUAAAUGCUCUAAAUUCAAUAUACAUAAUUGUUUUGUGUCCAAGUUUUUACCAGAAACGACAAGAAAGUAAUUGGACUGCCCGAAUGCUAUAGGGAAACAAAUAAAAUAGCUGGAAAGUAAAUCGAAUUGAAUUUGAGAGUCCUUACACGUCUGCUUGCAUGUAAACUUCAGAUCCGAGAUUGACCAUGGACUGAAAGGAGGUCACCCCAUUCUGCUCUAGGUUCUCAAUGUUCCGCUUCAGAUCGGAGCUAUCAUCUCAAUACCGAUACAGUUUCGGAGGUCAAGUAAACACAUUAAGACAGACAAUAAGCAGAUCGAAUUGGCAAGCCGAUGAGCAAUAUUAAGAUAAAGAAAAGGUAAAAACGUACAGAACUUACCUAAACUAUGGACCAUGUUGAAACGACUAGCUAAAUUUUGAUUUGACUACCCAACCUUUCAAUCUGUUCAAUAUGAGUUAGCCAACGGUACUUUUGACUUCAAAAGUUAAGUUAAUUAUUUAUUUUAAUGAAUUUAUAGUUACGAAAAUGCAUGGAGUAUACUAACUAAACAUGAAAAGAUAAAUGAUGCAUUCAAAUUUUGAAGUCAAAGUGCCGCUGACUGACUCAAAUCAAACAAAUUAAAAGAUUGGAUACUAAAAUCAAAAUUUUUCAAGAUUGGGUAGCCAUUUCAAAAUGGUCUUCAGUACGUUUUUACCUAAACAAAAUUGCUUAUUUAUCCCUCCAAAGUAGUGAAAUCAUGGAUUUGACCCUUAAAAGUUUUAAUUACCACAUAUAUCCCUCUAAAGUCGAAGAGUAAUAAUAAUCGACUUUUCUCUAUAAAAAGGCUAUUCCAUCCUUGAAUAAAUAUCGUUUUAUUAAAUACUUUCACCAUCACCCUCCAUUUCUAAGGCCUAUAUUCUAUCUCUCAUGCCACCUAUGUAAACCCUAAAUCCUAAAUCCUUUUAAAAGUUUGCACAUUUUUUAAAACUUUGCAUAGAAGUAUUCAAGAAGCAAAACUUUCUAGAAAUAAAUCCGUAAUUUCCAAACUUUGCAAGAAAAAAGGAUACAAGACCUUUUGCUGCUGAAGCACCUUAUCCCUGUUGCAAAUUGUUAAAUUAUAUAAAAUAACUUUUUUCUUCAAAAGCUUAACCUACUAGAUAAUGAUGUUUCUCAAAAUUUAUAAAUAACAUUCCUCUUCGCAUAUGGACCGGAGACUACUUUUUGAUAGGCCCAUGAUGUGAAUUUGAAUUAAAUUGAAGAAACUUAAUUAUGCUAAGAGCCAGGCGGCACUCAAACUCAGAACCUCUGAACCUCGAAAAGAGCUUAGGGGGCGUUUGGUUCGUCAUAAAAUGAACUGAAAAAUUAUUUUCGAUAUAAAAAAUACUUUUUCGCUUGUUUGAUUCGACGUGUACAGAUUUGGGAAAAAUUGAAGCUUUCGUUUUCCGUUAUUUUUCUGCAGAAAACGAAACUCAAGCUGCGUAAAAUUUUUUUCAUUCAUUUUUUUUUACCAAACAAAACAAGUGUGGAUUUUUUCCUUCCAACCAAACAAAUGUGGAUGAAAAACUAUUUUUUUUUCUACAAACCAAACCAUACAAAUAUUAUUUUUUACAAAAAAUUAUUUUUCACGAUUUUAUGUUAAACCAAAAGGAUCCUUACGGUAUCAUAAAACAGUAUUUUUAAUAUUUAUAUUCAACACAAAUAAAAUAAUAAAUAAUAAUCGGGAUUAAAAAAAAAAGAAAAAAGUUUUUUGAUGGUUGCAUAAUGUGUGUGUGUGUGAGAGAGAGAGAGAGAGAGAGAAGAGAGAGAGAGAGAGAGAGAGAGAGAGAGAGAGGGGUGGGGAGUAGAAGCGACCGUUGGGCGAUGGCGUUGACGAGAUCGGGCUUGAGGCGGCGGUCAACGAACCCCUCGAACUUCUCGACCUUCUCUUGGCGGAGGCGGAUCUCGUCCAUCGCCGAUCGCCUCGCCCGUCGCUGCGCCGGGGAUCGAUUGCUAGGGUUUUGGGAUGGUAGCAGGAUUGGCGGAGAAGUAGUAAUAAGAGAUGACACAAAGCAGGGUUUUGCUGCUGCGGACGAGGGAAUCACGUGUCGGAUAGUUACUACAGUACCGGGUUCGGAUCAUAUUAACGGGUUAAUAAUUGGUUCGUCUCUUCCAUCGUUUACGUUGGGGCGGGGCCCACAUGUCAUCCUGCUAACCGGAACAUAUAACCGCGCCGUCGCGAACGCGCACCGUGUGGUAAUCGCAAAUAACCGUGUCGCGAACGCCAUGGGAGGGCACGAGGCGGAGCCCGCGGCCUCCGCCGGGGAAGGAGACGCUAAUCCCACCCCGGCGCCGGAGCCGGAGAAGUCGCCGGAGACGGACCGCCCCGUCGUUGCUGGAGGAGGAAGAGGAGGAGGAGGAGGAUUUGAUGAUGAUUGCUCCAUCUUUCCCCCAAGCGAGCACGAGGGCCUCUUCCUCCACCCCGACCCCUACAAAACCCUAGCGCGCAUCUCCAAGUCCUCUUCUCCGCUCUCGCGCGGCGGCAAGGAGGAGGAGGAGGAGGAUGCGGUGGAUCGAGCGAGCUCGGUCGCGACGGGGCUCUUGGACGUGGCCCGGCGCGUGAUGGGCGGCGCGAGAUUCGAGGCGAUCCACUCCAGGAUCGGUCUCCGCGGGGGCGGAGGAGGCGCGAGAGGUGGGAGACGUGGUGGUGGAGGUGGCGGAGGGGUUUGGUCGAUCGCCGCUGCGGUAGGGUUGAUGGGGAUUUUGAUGUACAUGAGGCGAAGGGAUCGGCAGGAGAGGGAUCUCCUCCUCCUCCUCAUUAAAGAGAAGGAGCAGGUAUGCUUGUGCUCGCUAUCUUCUGAAUCUGUUCUCUUUCAAUCUCUGAAUUGAUCUAAAUUUGUGGUACAAUUAGGAUUUAGUCCCCGCUUCAAUAUACCUGCAUCUUGUAUGCAUACUAAUAUAUAUCGAUUAAGGAGAUGAAUGGUGAUUUCGAUUUAACGUUGCCGUCGCAGUGAUGAUAUUUCCACUUAUCUUCGUUUCAUGGUAUCUUCGGUAGCCUCUUCAAAUGCUGCAGAAGUGCUGUUCAGUAGUGCUUUUUGAAGAAACUCAGAGAGUUUUUCUUCAUUAGAAUCUUCACAAAAGUUUCCUCCUAUAGCAGAAGAUAGAGAAUCAAGCUUCUGCUUUCGAAAGUUUAAUUUGCUUGCUUAGAUGCCUAGAAGCUUCAAAAACUUUGCUUCGUUAACUAGGAAUAUCUCCAAACAAUCCUUGACUGAUUGGUGUUCAAUUCAACUACCUGUGCCCUUGACAGGCAAGUCGCAGAAUAAAAUUUGCCAAAUCCUAAUAUUUCCGUAUAGAAGAACUAGGAAUCAAUUAUGACAUUUUGUCUUGAGCCACUUCUUGUUUAUAGUGAAACCCUAUUAUUAGAGGAAGUUAUCUAGUCUCUGCCAUGAACAGCAAAAUAGGAAACAACUAGAAGCAAAAGGAAAGAAAACAGAAUAUUUGUGAAAAACUUGCUCGGCGAGAGACUUUUAAGAAGAGAAGUAAAUAGGAAGGCCUAUCUGGUUGAGGAAUCUGAUCUCCUGAAUUUCUGGGGGGCAUCAUAUAUCACCUCUGACCUGGGAUUCCUAUCCCGAAAAUCCCAGUACUUAGAACAAUUUGUGUCUUUCUUUAUUGCACUGCAGAUUGAUCUUUCUCUAAUUGUCUAACAAGUUUCUCUCAACCUAUCUUAACAUCACAUUUAUCCAAUCAUGCCCUUCACGUUUUCAAUGAUACUGGUCUUUGCCCUGACAAUAGGAUGCUGGAUAGUACACAACUUAUAGUGAUAAUGUCAAAACAAAAUUGUAGAACUUAUGAUGGGGUAUCACUGUAAAAACAGCCAUCGAUGAUUAGUUUUGAGUUUUUAAUUGAAGUGAAAUCGGGCUAAAUAGGGUCGUCUCAUGAACACAUGAAGUCUAGUUGCUGAAAGUUGAUACCUCGUCAUCUCCGUAUACAAAUGAACCAAAGGAUCAAAUAAAACUAAACCUAUUGCAUGCUUUCAUUUUGCAUAUUAGUACAUAAAGUGGUUGUUAUUGACUAUGUAAGUAUGGUUAAUUAGUUCAUCAGUUUGUAUAUUCUAAAAAUAUGAACGUUUUCUACCCCUGAUUGUCAUAUCUAAAUAAGGGGAUGCACCUUGAGAAAAUGGACCAGCUUAGGAACAAAUCGAAAAAAUCAAGGCCUGACCGGAAGAAAAGAAGACUGCCUAAAUUCCUACUAGAUCUCCGACUGCAUACUGUGUCCUAUCCUAGCACAAGAUAUUAGGCUAUCGUUUGUUCGCAUUUCAUCAGAUAGGAUUGGAUCGAGUUGAGUAGGCAGUGAGAAAUAUAGAUGGAUGAUAGUGAAAGGUAGAAGACGCUUGAUGGUGAUAGCAAAUUUGACUAACAUCAAACCAAUCUCAUCAAACAAAGAAGAAGAUAGCAUAAAAGAUCAAAGUACUAUCAUUGAGGUGCAGACCUCAUUUAUAUAGCAUGAACUUUAGGCUCUGGAAUAUGUUUUUUUUUUACCCACAGCUUGGCUUUUAGGGGAGAAGGUAGAAAUUGAAAUAGAGAAACAGGCAGAUAUCGAAACAGAGAAACAGGAAUAAUGUGGCGCUUAAGGGUAUGUUUCUGUAGGUUUACAGCUUUCAGGCAGGGGGGACGGAACGUAUGUCGCAUUACAAUAUGCCAUUUGUCUACUUGCACCCAUUGAUUGUACUUGUCAGAGUAACUGUAAGCAUUAGAUGGUGAAUACUGCAUUUUCACACUGUAAACAUUAGAAGCAUGGCACUAAUGGCAUUCUAUUCUUUGUGAACAUUUUCGGAAAACCUUUUGCCCGUUGCUUACUUGCUUGUUAAGGCAUUUCCUUCUAUGUGAAACAUUUUUGGAUAAAAGUUUGUCCGCUGCUAGCGUUAGUUUAAGGAAAAGGUCUUCUUGUUCAUCAGUCUGCUCCUUGCUUACUCUCGUCAAGUGGUUGGAGGUUGCAUUUGCUAUUCAUCCUCUUCAUAUCCUUAAUGUCGAAUCACCGUUUUGUUUUUUCCAAUAGGCUAUUCUUAUUUGAUUUUUGCAUUGUUUUUUGGCAGAUGAUAGGCCAGCUUCUGCAUCAAAUCGCUCUUAUGAAUGAAGUUUCCACUGUUAGGAAGUCCUGAUCUCUUUUACCAUGGUGAUAGUAGUUCAGUAAAGAACUGCAGCUGCCUAGUAUUUUUCCUGCUUAUAUAACUAGCAAAUUCCUUAGAGAAAUUUUGUAUUAGUCUUUUCUCUCUUGAAAAAAAGAAAAGAAAAGAAAAGAGUGACUGUGAGUCCAUCAUAUAUUUGAUACGAACUCUUUUUCUUUUUUUUUUUCCCCCUAUGGCUCUUAGAUAGGGUGUAUUUAUGUCUGUGCCUGAUAAAAAAUUGGUAAUUUUAAAAAUUUUUAGUCCCUGAUAUUUGGUUGCAUUUCGUGGCUUAUUUAUCUGUUAAUAAAUUUUAUUAGUUGGCAUAUUCUGAUAAGCCAAUUUUCCCUGGCAUUUUUAAUGCAUGUUCCUAUUUUCGGGAGGAGCUGCUCUAGUCAUAGAGCAAGCAAGGGAGGGUAGCGGUCAGUCUCUUAAGUGCACUUUCUUUUUAGUUUGAGAAACAAAACAAGGUCAGGCUUUUGUUUUUUUUUUUUUUUUUUAAAUCCUAUAUUUAUCAAGUCUUACGCUGGGCUGUUUGGUUUGUAGAAAAAAUUUAUAUUUUUUAAAAUAUAUAUAUAAUUUUUCCUUAAUUUUUCGUUUGCUUGGUUUCAAAUUAUUUUUUCACAGUUUACAAAAAAAAUUGGUGUUUUUAUUUUUUAAAAAAUUUAAAAACGAAAAUACUAGUUUCUUAUAAUUUUUUUUACAAUUAAAAAAAAAAAAAUUUUUUUUGAACUAAAGAGGUGGAAAACUGAAAAGGAGGUUUCUUGAAAGAAAAGAAACAAUCCAUACGUUCUGGACAAUCGAACUGCCCCUAGGCUGAUUCUCUUGCGUAACUUCACCAAGCAAGGAGGGCAACUCGGAAUACAAGCCGAAUGCAAUCAAAUACUAUGUGAAAUCACUGAGAAAAAAAAUCCGCUCAGUAUAACGAAAUCAAAUACAAAAUUAAAUCACUGCAAAACAUCUACUCAGAAAUCCAGCAACAUAAGGUGACCGCUAAAAGAUUAUAGAUCAUAGGUACAAAGCAUCUUAUGCAAAAGCAUAAGGGCAUCUUCACCGAAAAGAAUUGAAAGAAAAAGACUAUAUCAUGCAACAAGAGCACAAAUAUACAUUAGCGGUCCAUGCACAUAAAACGUCCGUCUGAUCUAACGACAUUUCCUUAUCUCAAAACAGAGAGUAGAAGUCGAAAAGCUUACAAGCUGGUAUUUUCUUUGGCAGCGAAAGCAGUCGCCACCAAACAACAAUUAGAAGUCUAUCUCAUUAAUACCCACUUUGAGGUCAUCUUACAAAGAACAAUCUUGUCUAGAGGCGAAUGUGACAGGUGUACAACUAGUAAGAAACACUACAUGUUCUAAGGCGGCACCAACAAAAAAAUUGGUCUAAAAAGUGAAAAGUACUUUUGAUUUGCACAAAAUCCUUGUGUAGUAUGUCCCUUAAAUCUUCGGCGCUUCGGCUUUGGCUGUCAACAACUGCAGCUACACUGGUACUCGUUUGCCUCGAUAGCGAUCAAAGAACUGAAGCAACAUUACAGAAAAUUUAUUGAGACAUAUUUUAACAAGUAUAUGCAGUUUCAGCAGGAAACAAUUCAAAUAUUUUAUAGCUCACACUGAGUAAGAUAGUUUAAAGUAUGUCAUACCGAUGUUACAAAUGGCUGUUGGAAAAGCCAGCCAAUAACAGGAAUCCUCUGCAAGAAGACCGCGAGUGUGGGCCAGAAACCACUGCCAGGUAAACCAAGUCAACAUGAGUGUUAGUGAUGAUAUAUAUACGGCAAAUCAAGUAACAGAUAACAUCUAUAUAAAUAUCAGUAGUAACACUGCAGCAAUAUUUAUGGAGUCAACUCUAUAACAGUGGUAACACUCGUUGAACGGAAAGAACAUGUAGAGUCAUCACGUCUAAAGCUGGUUGAUAUCUAGAAAAGGGAAAAAAUGGAGACCCCCUUUGGCCCCUACUCUUGUUGCGUUGUAGCUAAAUAGCACUUUACGACCACGUUGUUCAAAGUGUAACACUUUGCCACCCCAUGGUUGCAUUUGAGUUUCCUUUAGGAGCAUCAGGGAUUGUGAAAUUGCCAUAAAAACUAGGCUUGUGACCAUUACGUGACUUAUUUGACUACUAAAAAUCACGAGAAUCAAUGAGACUAAAGGAAUUAAAUCUUUAUAUACAGCAUUUUAAUGCUCACAUAAUUGCACCAAGUUCGGCAUUUUGACAACAGUUCGUUACAGAAAGCCAGGACGGGCCGAAGGUUGCUAAACAAAAAUUGGGCUAUAACGCAAUGGGUGUUUAUAAAGUUUCCCGUCCAUAAACAUUUAAAUGAAGAAAAAAAAAUCAAACUAACCUGAAAAGCACGAUGAAACCAUAUGACUCCAAAAUCAUGCCAAAUACUGGCCAUCCAAUCAGGACCAGAAAAAAGCCAACUCCAAAUGAGAUAGUACCCUGUUCAAAAUCAGCAAACCCUUAAAAAAGUACCCACAGGGAACAAAGGAAACUAUUAGAUCGACUUAUGCAGACAAGCAAACCUUGUAGUUCUUACGCUUGGUGAAGAAUUGCAUGGUGGAUUUCAGCCCUAUGGUCAGCAUCACACCUGACAGGAAAAGGAUCUGAUGUGGUCCAAACAAAACAAAACAAUGCAUAUCAUAUUCAUUUCCUCAGUAAAGCCACCAGAGAACAAGUUGUUAAGGGAUAGCUUACAUUUCCCAUGGCUAGGAGACCCUUAUCAAAGAAGAACAUGAUCCCCAAGAAUGAGAAGAAUAUUCCAAAUCCUGUCAAACCUAGCCCAAUCUCUGGUCCAGACGAAUUUUGACAUAUUAGUGAUAGUUGCCAAUGAAAUUGAAACAUUAAUGAAAAUGUGACACCCCAAUAGUCCCACAUCGGAUGAAAAUGGACUUAUGAUUAGGUAUAUAAGAGAUCAUGGACGCUAGUAAUAAUAACUGAGCUUAAGCAUUUUGGACCGGUGGUUUGGGCCCAACGAGUUAUUGUUGCUAUUGGGCCGGGUCAUCACCGAAAACAAGAUAAUUACUUUAACAUUAUCAUCAUAUAAUUUCUGUAUCUAAUGCUGCAUUAAUGGUUUUGAACCCUAUGUGAGCCAAGUCACAAAAUAAUGGAGAACAAUAAAAUAUUUGCGCUAAACAGUUCAUGAGCACAUUAAUUUAUCAGCAAGAUGGACAACAGGAUUAAAGUAGGAUUGAAAGGUAUAAAAUUAAUAAGAGUAGUCGCUCAAAAAGUCAAAAAGAAAAGCCUUAGUACUCUAUCCAUCUCAACUAGAGAAACUAGAAAAGGUUGAAAAAAAUGUUCAAAUGUUUAAAAAGAGCAUACUGCAUCCAUCCUGAAUAUUAUGAUUAACAGAAAAUACUAUUAAAUAUUUCAUAACAUGCAUUAGACAUAGAACUCAUACUUUUCCGAUCAUUCAUCUCAAAUGAAACCAUUGUGCCAAGCUAGAGACAAACUAAGAAGCCAGUGAGCAACAAGACAACCUGCAAGAAAGAAAAGUUUGUGUCAAGUCUAUUUAUUUUAAAUCCAGAAGAGUUCUAAAUUCUGAAAUCAGAAGUAUAAGCAACUUCAUGGAUAGAUAUGUAAAUAGUUGUCAAGACACAUUAGAAUGCAGGUUCUAAAUGGACUUUUUUCGAAAAUAACCCUGUAAAAUUUCGUAUUUGCCAAACUAACCCUGUGAAAUUUUUAUUUGUGAAACUAACCCUCCUCUCGCCACGUGAGCGCCACGUCAGGGAUUCCUCAAAAAGACGGUGAAUCGUUCACCGUCUUUGAUAUUUGUUGUGAAGGCGGUGAAUGGUUCACCGUCUUCAUAAGACGGUAAACCAUUCACCGUCUUUAGUACAAAUCCCUACACUGUGCAAAUCUUUCCAAGUCCAUCCAUAAUAUGGUGUCCUUGAUAAGACGGUGAAUCGUUCCCCGUCUUCUCGAGGGCACAGAAAAGGCGGACUUGAGAGGGUGGAGAGGGUGGAAAGGGAAAGGACGGAAAUGGGAAUUUUGCACUAAAGGCGGUGAAUGAUUUACCGUCUUCUAAAGACGGUGAACCAUUCGCCGCUUUUAAACAAAAAUUACAAAGACGGUAAAUGAUUCACCGUCUUUUUGAGGAAUCUCUGACGUGGCGCCCACGUGGCGAAAGGAGGGUUAGUUUUACAAAUAAAAAUUUCACGGGGUUAGUUUGGCAAAUACGAACUUUCACAGGGUUAUUUUCGAAAAAAGUCCGUUCUAAAUUAUUAAUGAACUAUCAUGAACUUACAAAGUACUUACGCAGUAAUAUCACGGAUUAUAUCUUACAGCUUAGUCACAUAUUUGAUAUUCACUUUUCAUCUACCAACUAUUUAGGAUGAUAGUUACCCUCAUUGGUAGAACAAAUUUUGGCAACUCAGUGCACCGACAGAUAAAAAGCACUUGCUGGUAAGUAGAGGAGAUCUUAGUAGCAGGCCUCCUUAAACUGAAGGAGAUCUUAGCAGCAGGCAUCGCAAUGCACCUACAGAUAAAACUUUCCUACUUAGGAACUUUUAUAAGUCCAACAACUCCUACUAUCUCUUCUUAAGCAAUUUCCAAUUUAAGAUGAUACAAUUUAUGCAGUCCUGAUAUGGUCUUAACAACCUAACAUCUCAACCAAGAACCACUCGUGCACCACUCUAACAAAUGAAUUAGUUCUCAUUGUUCUAGUGAAAAAACCUACAGUAACUGCAACUUGUCUCUAGUUCUUUUUCCCCAUUCCCAGGCUUGUAUAAAGUAUAUAUUUAUCUUUCAACUCUAACUAGUUCGAUUUGCAUUUUCAACUCUUAACUCUUCUUGUGUUAUAUUACUUCUUUCUCUCUGUUUCUAACUUUUUUUUAUUUUGGUGGUUCUAAUAGAGAUGAAUGUACGCAAUAUUAAACUACUAAUCUCAGUAAUCUGGUGGACAGGAAGAAUCUAUUGCUGCCGAUUUCUUGGUCUUCAUACUUUUUCCUUCAUUUACUUCUGCUUAACACAAACAAAGAUAAAUUGAUAACGAUUUCAAUGUUAUAACUUCUCCAACUUAAACAUUAGCUUUGCCACCUCGAAUUAGCCGAUGUAGAAGUUUCUUUCCCCUUUUUUUGUUUAUUGAAUCUUGCUUCUCUUCUCUCCCCUUCUACAUCUCGAAUCGAUAAUUAAGUAGAAUGUACUCAACAUCUAGUUACAUCAAAAUAUGUAUGCUGUUCUCAUAAUUCACAUUUCAAAGACGAAUUCAAUUAUCUGGAUAAUCACCCCAAUUAUCUCAUCUCAAGACCUUGGAAUAUCCAAUCCCUUACUGGAAAAAUUUUGGAUCCCCUGAAAUCACUCCAAUUAUAUAAUCUCAAACACAUGUCUAGGUUCUUCAAACGUAACCAACUGAAAAAUGUAACACACACUACAUCAAGUGAUAUCUCAUUCAUAUGGUUCAACAAUUUUAAAUAUACACUAACAAGGGUUUCUCAGAUCAAGAAUGCUCCAAGAAACAUGUAGAUCAACAAUUCAAUUGAUUACGUAAUGUGAGCAGUGAUUUUAUUGGGAUCAGAAACUUGAGAAGUGAAUCAUCGAAUCAAUUAACAUACUACACCUCAAGGCUAAUUAAUUUUCUCCCUAAAUAUGAUCUUCUCAUCAUUCAAAACCAAAAGAAUUCGAUCUAAACAAAUCAAAAACUCGAAUAUACCAAAACAAAUCACCAAAUCACGAAGCCCUCGGAUCCUUCAAGCAGGUCAUAUGAAUCAUUAAAAAGAACGUCAAAAGAGGAACUACGAUCAACUGCAUCAGUAAUCAAACCCUAUUUAUCGAAGCUUCGGAUCGAGAUAGAGAUCGAGCGAUCGAGAGAUCGAAAUAGAGAGAGAGAGAGAAGAACCGGAUUGGAUCGACAGUGAUGGGGGUUCGGAUCGGAGGAUCGGACGGUGGAGAACGGCGGUUUACGGGAUCGCUCCGUCACCGGAGAAGGGAUGUUAGGGUUGGGGCGCACGUGGAGCGGUGGUGCCGAUGACUCCGACUCAGUGACAGAUCAGAGAAGGGAAGGGGUGGGAAAUUAUAUUAAUUUUAUUUUCAUUAAAAUGGAUUUUUUUUCUUUUUUUUUUCCUUUUUUUUGUGAGCAAAUUAUACAGUGUAGUAACUGAAUGUAGAAAGAGGAGAACGUGAUGAAUCACAGACCACAAACUCGAGUGUCGAGUGAAUCUCGACCGUCCACUCCAUGCACUCUAGCUCAAAUUUUGUUUAUCGAACAAACUCUUCACUUAACUCUUCCAAAUUUUUGCCCCAAUAUUUUACUGAAAAAAAUUAUUUAUUAUUAAAAAUAUGUGUAUUAUUUGGUAUAGAGAAAUGUUAUUUGUUGUUCAUUUAUUGUCUCUCAUUCUAGAAUUUAUAAUUUUUUAAAUUUUUAGUAUUUUAAAAAAAUUAAUAAGGCUAAAGAAAAAAAUAAUUUUUAGAUGGAACAAAACUUCAAUGAGGAGCUCCGCAACAACGCCUGAUUAGAAAGGCUCGAUCUAGUACGACGACGUGUGUCAAUUUUAUUUUCAUGCAUGAAUUAAUUGAAUAUUUUUUCCUAAUAAAAUUUCAACAAAAAUUUAAAUUAUAAAAAAAAAAUUAUAAUUCUUGAAUAGAGCCAAAAUUGACGGGCUGGUAGAGUUUUUAUAAUUAAUAAUUUUUUCCGUGAUCGUUCAACUAACUUUGAAGUACAUAAAAGACUCAAUUCAAUAAUCAGUAAUUAAUAUAUUAUAUUAAGAUUAGAUGUCAGGCCUUUGGAAUCAUGGUGCAGAGUGCAAACUAUAUUUUGCUUAUAACCAAUAAACUACUGCAGUUGAAAGGUGAAACUGUAUGGAAACCCCUUAAGUUUAGACUAUUUUGAAACUAGUGCCGUAGCUGUGUAGCUUUCGUUGAUUAAGAUAUCUUAAAAAAUUUAAUUUAAAUAAAUUAUUAAGUUAAAAAUAGUGCAUAAUUCAGAUAAGCGGUGUACACUUUUACCUGCAUUUCUGCAAAUCUCUUUCAAACCUCUGCUACAAAGUACAAUCGAUUAUAUCAAUAACUGUGUUCGUUCGUUCAUUCAACAAACCACCCGUGCAAAACAAGGGGAAAAAAAUAUUUACAACACCAACCGCUACACAAUCUCAAGGUACAAAAUCAAUCAUCAUCAUGAACUCACCGCUUCUGUUGCUGUUGCGUCGACGAGAUGCAGCUCCACCUCCUCCCUCCACUCCACCCACCGGCUCUCGUAGUACCCGCUCUUAACUUCGUUCGGAAAGUNACCCGCCACGUCACCGCCCCCUCCCCGACCCCCGCCUCGUCACCCGCCGCCACCACCGCUCCCGCCUUGGUCAGCGCCCGCCCGGGCCCACCGCACCGCCGUCGCAUCCCGGCGCGUGGGUCCCCACCGGGGCCAGCCCCCGGCGUCCACGUGGCAACCUCGGCCCCGGUGGCGAAGUCGCAGAGGACGCCCUCGAAGACCGCGGCGGCGCCCUCGGCGUCCUGGUCCCACCGCCAGCUGCGCCCGCGCGUGCGCGCCGCCGCGCGGGCCUUCGCCUUCACCCCCGCCGCGCGCUUGGUGGGGCCGCCGCCGCUCGCGAAGCUGCCCUUCACGGUGCGGGUCGUCUCCACCUCGCGCUCCGGGUUCCCGGUCGACCGGCCCAGGCUCGGCCCGGUCGCGUAGGCCGCGCCCGGCUCGGGCCCGACCCAGACCCGGAUCCGCGACGGGAAGUGGCGCUCCCCGUCCACGUCGUCGUCGUCGUCGUCGGUUUCCUCCUCGUCGUCGUCGUCGUCGUCGGUUUCCUCCUCCUCGUCCUCCUCGCGGUGGUCGUGGUCCCCUCGCGUGCCGCAGCCGAGGCGCGCCACGUGGACGCGUAUGUUGACGACGCGUACCCCGACGAGGAUGAAGCGCGGGUCGCGCAUGGAGACGGAGUACUCGAGCUGGACCGCGGCCUCGAGCUGCUGGUGCGCCAGCGCGUACCGCAGCGCCGCGUCCUUCGCGUCGUGCGGCGGCGCCGCCUCCUCCGCGGUGGAGCAGCCGCGGACGCGGGCCAUGGCGGGGACGGGGGCGAAGCCCCUGAGGAGCCAGAGCCCGUGGGCCUCCGCGGCGUAGGCGAAGCAGCAGCAGCCGCGGCGGCGGCGGCGGCGGGGUCGCGCGGGGGGUAAGGGUAAGGGUGAGGGCGAUGAGGGCGAGGGUGAGUCCCCCUCCCCCUCCCCCUCCUCCUCCCCCAAUCCGAAUUGGAGGCGGCGGAGGAGGCACCACUUGGCGAGCAUGUAGCCGAGGGAGCGGGCGCAGCGCUCCUCGAGGUCGGGGCCCGCGGCGCGGAGGAAGGCGCCGAGGGCGCGGGCGCAGCGGCGCGGGGCGCGCUCCAGGGAGGGGCCGAGCGCGCGGAAGAAGAGGAAGCCCGCGUCGGCGGGGGCGUCCGCGGCGCAGAGCCAGAAGAGGCGCAGCAGGAGCGCCAGCUCCAUAAAGGCCGCGCCCUGCUCCCGCGCAGCGUCGAGCGCCUUCGACACGGGCUCGGCGGCGAGCCCGACGGAGGGGGCGGUGGUCGAGGGGGAGAGGGAGAUGGAUUCGGCGAGGAGCUGGUGGAGGAGGAGGAGGAGGAGAUGAGAGGAGAGAGCGGAGGGGCGGAGAGCCAUAGAGUCGGUGGCGGAGUGAGGACGGAGAGGAGGAAAGGUGAGGAGGGGUCGCAUGGGCGGUGCGGUCGGCGAGAGGAGGAUGGAGUGGUGGUCGGAGGCGGCGAGACGAGGGACGCGGGCACGAGGGGAGAUACGAGGGCAGCGAGGCAUCCACGACCACACCUCCUCCAUUUCUCGACAGAUUUUUUUUUUUUUUUUUUUUUUUUUGUGUGCGUUAAGGAGCGCGCGGGAGGAUAAAGCUCUAACUUAUUAUACAAAAAACAAACCCACCGACGCCUAGGGAGGGGAAUGGUUUGGUUUCGGCCACACGAGGGUCUUACUCUUAUGAUUGCUAGCUAUCCUUUGGAAUGGUGCUUUAAGAUUCGGGAGUUUCUGUUCAAUUCUAUUCCACGGUGGGGGAUUUCACUUGUUCCUAAUAAAAGGAUUAGGACGUAUAACGACUCAGUAUAACUUCAAUUGUAUUUUAUCGAAUAACACUAUAUCACUAUAUCGUACAGCUUUAGAGCCAAAGUGGCUUGCUUCUUCCCAUCAUCUCCGUCAACGACUCUGACGCCGAGAAGCGUAAGGCUGUGGCGGCUCAUGACUUGAUCUUGGCUUUCCUAAAUUGGUCGAUCGCAACGGAGGAGAAAGAGUUGUGAGAGAUUUACUCCCUAAUUUCGUCCAUUUGUUUAGUUUUAGAUGAUUAUUUAAUCAUACUUAGGCUUAUUCUUUGACUUGACCGGGUUGUUGUAACUUGAAACCUCCGCUCAAUAGACUCAAUGAUAAGAAGUAGAUAGUUAAUUAAAGGCGCGGGAUCCUUGAUCAUUUCCAGCGACCAGAUAACUAAAACGCUGACUUUUUGUUCCUUGGGGAGGUAUUUAGCUAGUUUUGACCCAAUGGGAAUUUCUAUACAAGUUCGACUUAAGUAGAUGUGAAGCAGCACUACUGAGACAUAGCAUUUUGCUUUCGCUUUCAAUUACAAUCUUUUUUACAUGAUAAUUUUGACAAUAGAACAAAUUCAUUUGGUACUCGUGAUUCUACUGCAGAGAAUAGCUGCUGUUGCCGCUUCUUCUACUGGCGUUAUUCGAACAGUAGUAUAUCAUUCAACUUGGUCAAAAAACCUUGAAUCCAAUUGCAUUUAGAACAAAACUUUUUUAAAAAGUAUUUAAUAAUACUUUGUGGAUGUAUUCAAGCAUUUGGCUACAAUCUUCUCUCCUCUCAGCAUUUAAAAACGGUGAUGAUGCAAAACAAGGCCAUAAUAAAUUAAUUAUUUCAAGAGUAAAUUUCAUGUUUGGUCUUCAAAUUAUAAUCCUUAAAAGUUUAAUUUAUUGUAAUUUUCGAUUCAAACUUUAAGAAUUAUUACAAUUAAAUUCUAUAAUCCAAUUUAAUUGAUUUAAUAUUAAUAUAUUGUUAAUACAAAAGUAAUGUAUUAAUGCUGUGAUUGAUGAUAUGCUAAUAAUUAAAAUACUAUAUCACUUUACAACAAUGGUGCGUCAAUAUUUAGUAAACUAAAUUGGACUAUAGGACUUGAUUGCAAUAAUUCUAAAAAUUCAAGUAAAAAAUUACAAUAAAUUAAAAUUUGAGAGCCAAAGUGCUACCUAUCUCACAGCAUAAGGACCAAACAUACAAUUUAUCCUUAUUUCAAUUAAAAUCAUUCUAUGUAGAGAAAUAUUGGGACACAAUUAAAUUCCAAGUACCACUUUCCACAAACAUGCAGAUCACAAUAAUCAAGAAGGCACCACAGUUUGAACCAUGUUUUAUCUUUUGUCAGAGAAAAUCCGACGUUCUCAUUGUAACAAAGAGUCGCUCAUUCAACAGUUGAAACUUCACUUACUAUGGCAAUUUCUAAUCUAAUCUUAAAUUAGGGAAAACAUUUCUCUAAAUGAGGGGGGUGGGGGAUCUUAAAUGGUGCAUCAUAUCUCAAAUUGCACCUAAAGGCCAUGUAUUCAAGCACUUCAGAUCUUUACUUAACCUAUAAAUGUUGCCGCAGGAAAAUGCAAAGGUAGCAACCUUUCCUCCAUAAUGCAAUCUUCUGAGCGCAUUGUGAUUGCUAGACCACAAAAGAACUUCAUGAAGCUCCCCUUUCUUCCAGCAGAUGUUCACAGUUACUCCGCCUCUCGCCUUCAAUCCUUCAACACAACCGGAAGGCCACUUAUCACGAGGGAGAGCCGGGAGUAAGUAGAGGUCACGCUGGGUGCUUUGGACUAGUAUUUCAGCAAUUGCCGCAGUGAAACUGAGAGAAAAGAAAAUGAGAAAUCGCGAGAAGUGUCCCUCUGGGACUUCUACAGAAGAAUUAUUUAAGUAAAAUUAUUCAACUAACAACUUCUUCACUAAAGUACCAGCCAACAGCUAUGCUGCAGUUAAAGCAGAAAAUACAAAUCGGAGAUUCUGCCUUUUGGGGCUAGAAGCCCGUUUCAACUUCUCGUUAUAACAAAAGCUUCACACUUUUCAUUUGCCAAAUAUGGUGCUUACUAAUUCUCAAAGUAGAGAAGCUGCUGCAGAAACCAAGCCAAAUAGACACGCGGUCCUGUUUCGAUCCAUUACCGUCUUUUUCAAUAUAUUCCUUUAAUUGAUUUAGAAGCAUGUAAUAUUUGGUAGAUGAUGAGUAUGAUCACACAUCCAUAAUGGAUAUUAUAUUCAGCCUUCAAAUUAUUUUUUUCUGAAAUAAGAUAAAUCACCUUGUAGGCAAAAUAUACUAUCUUACCAAAUUAUAUAUGCCAAAACCUUUCCAGAAAUAAAAUUCAAAUUCCUGCCUUUCAAUUGCACAAGAAAAACUUUAUACAAAAUAAACUAUCAUUGAAUAUGUUAUUCCGACAUCCAAAUAGGGGCCUAAGAGUUUUCUUCUAAGAUAGCAAAACUGACAUAUAUCUUAGACACAAUCAGAUUUUACAGUUAACCUAUCCAAAUUGAGACAUUGAUUCAUACCCGAAAUUGGCAUCUAUUUGAAAUGGAGGAUGUGCGGUGAACAAGUUGCUAUACACUCCUCCUUCAAAGGCAGUUUCAUUGUCAGGAUCUACCAAGUUGAUCAGCUGGAAAAUCAUUUUGUAAGCAUGCUCGCUGUUAUGAAGGCGAGCCCACAAAGCCAUCUUCCAUGUAGUUGACCAUCCCGGACCGACAUCACCUAACAAAGUGACAAUUAUAUAAAAGUAAAAAAAGGAAAGAAAAUUAGUCCACACAUUGCUAAAAUUGUAAGGUCUGGAGUACCUCUUUUGUAAAGGCUGUUAGCAGCUGCUUUGCAGAGAUCAGGAGUUUUCUCAACCGUAAUAGUAUGACCUGGAAAAAGACCAAAAAGGUGCGACAGAUGCCUAUGAUGGAUAUCUGGGUCCUCAAAAUCCUGCGCCUGUGUGCAUUGAAUGAAAUUUAGACACUAGGAACACUUAAAACAUGUCAAAGCAACCAGAAAAUAAAACAAAAUAAAAUUAGAAGUCAACUAACCCACUCCAUGAUUGAACCAUCUCUAGCAAUUUUUGUUGGAGGGAGCCUAGGCAAGGCCUUCUCGAUACGGUCAAUUAAUUCAGUAUCGGUUUUCCCAAGAACCUAAAACAACAAUUAGAGAAGAGAGCCUUAAUCUCCAAGCUCAUUAAACUAAAAAAAUAGAUAGCACUAGCAUCACAAGACACUGAAACAGAUUAGUCGGUAUGAUUUCUCACACCAAUAGCACCUCUUUAUGAAAAUUUUCAUGUGGAAGUAGUCACCUCAGCAGACGAAAUAACGGCAGAGAAAACUUCCCGUAUGAUUGCAAUGUCCAUAGUUGUUGAAUAGCUGACACUUGCCAUCUUACCAUCAGGAGCGAUAAAAGAAUGUUCGGGCGAAGUAGAAGGAUUAGUUUCCAAGUACCCUCCAUGUCCUUCAAUUAACCAGUCUAACAGAAAAGUUGCACAUCCUUCCAAAAGUGGGUAUGCUGUAUUCUCCAGAAAAACCUAAAUAAAAGUGAGAAAAUCGUAAGCUUUGUGGGUCAAAUUAUACCUACUUGAAGAAAAAAUGUUAGAAAAUAAAUAAAUGAAACAUGAUCAAUAUACUAAAUUAUGAACAAAUAGGAUAAAUGAUAUAUAAUGCAUGCCAAAUUUGCGCCUGUAAUGAGACACAGGGCUUACUUUGUCCAUUGUGAAAGUAUAAUGCUCCCACAGAUGUGUACUGAGCCAAGCCCCGCCCAUUGGCCAUAAAGCCCACACAGGGUCACCACGGUCGGGCGAUGAUUUUGCCCAUAUGUCCGUUACUUGAUGAGCUACCCAACCACUUGCUUCAUAAUUGACCUGAACCGUAAAAUUAAAUUUUGAUAAAGCAAUAUGAAAGCUAGUAAUUAUCUGCAAAAGGGAGAAACUGAUUAUUGGAGAGAUAAAUAGGGGAACAUAUGCCUUGUAAGACUUGAAUAGUGUAAAUAAUGUGGAUCUUCUGUUAUGAUUACAUGCAACAGCAAGUCCAAAAUGGUGCAGGAAAUGUUCUCAUCCACAUGCCUAUCAAUAUGUAACAGGAAGCCAAGAAAUUGCAUGAAAUAUUCACAAAACUCCACUUAAAAUUUUCUCUAAUUAAAAAAAAAAUCCGAAAAAUGGCAUGCUCAUAUACAGCAUAUUUCCAAUUGUCAAGGAAGUUUCUAUUCAUACUGUUUAUAACACAGGAAAUUGGACAAAUGAAGCAUUAUCACGAUUCCACCUAAGUAACACUAAAAACGCAAGUCAACAUUACCAGCCAAAGUAUCAUGCCUUCAAUAUUCUUAGACAACGCAAUAAACCUCAAGGCAAUGUAUACACCACUAAAUGAAGAAUAGUUUGCUAUUCAAUCCUUACUCAUCUCACAAAAUAUGGGUUGCUCCUGAAGCAUUGUUUUAUUCAACUCAUCUAUUGUAGAUAAGGACUAGAUUGGGAAUGCUUUGUCCAUAGCAGUCCCUUCAAGUUCCCUGAAGUUCCAUGGAUCCAUUUUGGGACUUAGAACUUCAAUGGAUGCAAAGUUUGAGAAACGUAAAAACGACUAUCAAGUAUUUAAUAUUUCUAUAUUUCCUUUCCUGUCAAGCAUGGCUGAUUUUUCUAUUAUGCCAUAUAGCUUUAAAUCAAGGAUAGCAAUCUUACUUUUGCUGUCUUGCUACCAUUGAUCGCAAGAGAUUCAAUAAAAUCAAACAGUGGUUCUUCGCACUCACGAAGAUUGCAAGGAAGCGAUGGCCAGUAAUUCAUUUGCAGAUUGAUGUUCAGGUGAGGAGCUGCACUGGAAACAAACAGCAAAAGUAAAAUUUCUAUGUCAAACAGUACAUAGCUAUGAAAUCUUCAUCUCAUUUUCCAAGCCAUAGAACUCAUUUUGGAUGCAGGACAAAUCCAAAAAUUAAGCACCAAUGAUCAAAAUCAUGAUGGCUCGUACAUUGAUGGAUGUCUCUUUUAUUGCCCACUUGCAUUAUAUGCUAUAAUUGAGUUACUUACGGUGUGUGUCACUUGAUCAUACUUCUCUUAUUAAUCAAAACUAACUAAAUAAAGAUUCUCAGCUACAAUAGUCAAAAUCAUAACCACUAUUUCUGGAAAAGCAGAUAACCUACAUUUUUAGCACAGGUUCUGGUGUGUUAAGCAAUACAUGGUUAAUUUUAUAGGAAGCAGCGAAUCACAUACAUGCAAUCACUGUUCCGAAAGUACAAGUUCCUAACAAAUGACCUAACAAUUAGGAAAAAGAUCCACCAGUUUGACGUAUUAAAAGUCAAAUUGAGUUUUCCAGGGUUUUAUUGUAAACUUUUAUAGGUUGUACCUUUGGUUCAUAACUUCAUAUAUAUCUAAAUAGCAAUAUAAAAAUUUUGAAAGGUCCGUAAGUUGUCAAAUGCUUCAUGGAGAAGUUCGAUGAAUUAAUAUUAACCUCUAAUGCUUUCGAUUGAGGAUAUAAUAAGCACCUGGAAAUCUAUUGCAAAAAGAUAUAAGCCUCAUAGCAAUGAGAAAAUAAAAUUAACACAGCAAAAGUAUGAAUAAGAAAUAUUGGGAAUAAAUAUUUGCAUUCAACUCCUUGGUUGUGAAAUAAUACAAGCUUUUUAUAUAAACAACGAAGAUAUUUCCUCAUAAGUUAAAAGACAAGCGAUAAAAUAAAAACUGGCUAAGGUAAUAUAGUUGAGGUAAAAUCUUACUCCCAUGCUGGCUCAAUGUCCUUAUUCCAUAUUCCUUGCAAGUUGGCAACCUGAGUUCCAGGCCUAGAACAAGAUAUUAGCAGGUACCGCCCAUAAUGGAAUAACAGCUCUACCAAAGUGGGAUCCUCAUCAUUUUUAAAAGAUUUCACUCUUUCCGCAGUUGACUUGAUGGCAUCACUCAUUAUUCGGACCGAAGAAUCAGUACUUUGUGAUUCUGUGGAGUCUUUUGACAGUUUCAAAGUAACAUGUUGAAAAAGACUCUGAUAAUCAUCCAAAUGAUAAGAAAUUAGCUGAGAAAAUGACAUAUUCUUGAUUGGAUUUAAUAACUUCACGGCUUCUGAAGUAGGGUCCACUUUAGAAUCAGAAGGCUUAACGAAUGGCCCUUGGAAUGAAGAAGCAGCUGUGAGAAGCAUAACAACCCAGUCGGCACCAUCAACUUUUAUUUUCCUAUCGUCAACAAUUUGUGCUGUGUAAUCAUCACCACCUAUCUGCAAAUUGAGAAUUGCUGAGAACUUAAUUCCGCUUGGACUUUCAGAGGCAUUUUCUUUCGGUGGAAUUCUCUUCCCUGGGCAGCUACCUUCCAUGAUGAUUUGAUUUGAAGUGUUUGCAGCAGAAUGAUGAUGCAAUAGGCUGUCUAAGGAUACUGUGAAGGAGAGGCAGCCCGAUUUACUUGCAGAAAUCUUGGUCACGAGCACUUGAUGCGGGUUUGAGGAGAAGUGUUCCCUCGUGUAUUCUACAUUCCCAACAGCGUAUUGGACAGUCACAGUCGCAGUAGUCAGAUCGAGUUCUCUUUCAUAACCAGUAUAUGUGUCAUUCGCAUUGCCAAACUCUAUAUUAAUAUCACCAAGAGGUUGGUAGACCUUCAUUUGAACCCAAUUAGUGUUAGAUUUAAAUCUUAUCUUGCCAAAAGUUAAGCACAAGUGUGCACAAGUAGAAGAGAAAACAGCUAAAUUUUUCUGUUGACAACAUGUCAUGUGCAAGAAAUGCAGUGUUAACAAUUGAACAAAAUAAACGGUACAUAUCCUAAAGACAUUCAGAAAUAAAUGGAGAUAUAUUCUCUUUAGACUAGGAAAAUUUGAAAAAUAAAGUGCAUUACUACAUAGCACCUCCAAAUGUAAAUUUAUGAAGAAUUAGGAGACAAAAAAAAAAUUCAGCUCCCUUCGACAGAAAGAACUAUCAUGACCUUAAUAUAACCAAGGAAGCUAAGUACCUAACAGAGUAUUGCAUAACUUAGUGGAGAAAUAAUUGAAGUUCUAAUAGAAGCCAACAAAUCGAAUUAUCAUGUAUGGCGUAAUUUAAAAGGAUGCAUCAAGUCAAUCUUAAUACUAGAAAAUGGCCUCUAAAAUACUCAGCAGCAUUCAAGCAAGCUAGCAGUAGACAUCAAAAUUAUAUAUUUUUUUUAAAAAAAGGUAAAUAAAUUUCUUUCAUGCAAGAGCUUAAAAUUGCACGUACAUCUGAUGGCUUAUCAGACAAGUCAAAAGCGGCCGAGGUGGCUUCCGCAUAUUGUCCGUCGUCCACAAGUUCUCUUACUUUAGAUAGAACAGCAGGGGCUUUUGGAUUUGUAUAAUUACCAGGUACACCAGUCCAUAGAGUAUCAACUGCAUAAGCAAUUACACUAUAAAAUCAGCAGCAUUUUACAGGUGAGAGAAAAAAAAAUAUCAACACAGGGCAAAAAGGAUUAAUGACUAAUAUAAAAUAUAGAAAGGAUUAUUGCAUAAUCUUUUUUAAAAAAAGAAAAGGAACAUGCUGAGAAUUACCUAAAGCAUAAAAUACAGAGCCAGCUUGUUUAUCUAAUAAACUAAUAUCCAGUAAUAUUAAUCUUUCUUCAAUCACGAACAAAAAGGUCACUUUUUUUGUCCAAAAUUGAAGGUAAAAGGUUAAAAUGUAUGGAAAGCCUUAAGCCCCUCAAGUACUAUAGACCAGUUUAAAAUAGGCCCUUUUUUUGACACCUGUGAACUUUCAUUUUCUUUUGUCUGAAUCAUUUCAUUAUUACUUGAAUCAGAAAUUUCAUUAAAUUAAUCAGCAAUUUCGUCAAAUUGUUAAUAUUAAUGAUCAAUAGCUAACAAAGUUAUUAAUUUUAACAAAAUUUCUAUCGCGAUUAACUAAAACAACUCAAAACAAAACAAAGUAAGGUUAAGAGAUUCAAUGGUAAAAGAAAAGGAACAAGAGUUGAGGCGCACAUUUCAAAAUACCAUAUAAUUGAAGGGGCCUUUGGGAUCUCCACACUUUUUUUUUUAUUUUUUUUUACCUCGUGGGAUUCGAGCUCACAACAUUCACCUCCGAACUAUACAGUGCGAGACUCUCAAAUCUUCGUCUAACAAAUAUUUAAAAGAGCAAUAGGAAAUCACGAUUAAACAACUCUACUUCAUACAAAUCGAGGUAAAAGGUAGAAAUUUAGAACCACUCACUCCACCAUACUCUAAUAUAAAUAAAUAACAACAACAGCAAAACCUAAAAAACGAACAUCGUUUAAUGUACGCAUCGAAAGAUAAAGAAAAAGCGGGGGGGGAGGGAGGGGGAACUACGAUUGAGCUGGAGCUUCUCGGCGGCGACGCCGCCCCACACCAUGGCGCCGAGUCGCCCAUUCCCGACGGGCGCGGCGUCGGUCCAGUGCUUCGCGGGCUCCGCGAACGCGAUCCUCAGCGGCCGCUCCUCCGCCGCCGCGGCGCCUCCCCACCCCGCCGCCGCCGCCGCCGCGUCCGCGUCGGUGGGGCGCCGCACGAGCACCCACUCCUCCGCCGCGUCGCCGUCGCCGAGCAUUGGGAGGAGGCUAGGGUUUUGGAUCGGGAGGAGAGAGAGGGGGUGAUGGCGACUGUGGGUCACUUGAAGCGAGGGGGCGGUUCGGCAUGGAGAAUGUGAUCACGGGUGCGUAGUGUUUUUUUUUCUUUUUUUUUUGGCCUUUUCGCAGGAGUACCGAGUACGGCCGUAAUAACUGCGCGGUGCCGGUGCUUCCGUUUGUGUGCGCUUCUCCGUCGCGCGAGACAGGUAGUGACACGAAAGGACGUAACAGCGUCGACAUUACGUGAACCCUGUUUACCAUCUCAUCUGUGUGAGUACAGUUUACCUACACUCCCUUAUUUUAAAAGUAGAUUAAUUUUAUACAGGUACUUAUAAAUAUAGAUAUCGUUUGGUUUGGGGAUAAGCAAAAAUUGUUGCUCUAGAAAUAGGCAUAAAUUGAGAUAUAAACAGGAAUUAGAUCAAUUUUGCGUUUGAAUGAAAAUUAGGUUAUUCUUGGGAAUUAAAAAAAAAAGUGUUUGGUUAGGUAAAUGGAAUAAGAAGGAUAGUCGAUUUUAUAAAUAAAAAGUAAUGAUAUUAUCUUUUUAUUAUAUUUGAAUUUGAAUUUUUAAAAUUUUAAAUUUAUAUUUUUAAAGUUAAAAUUUUAAAAUUUGAGAAAUUUGAAAUUUAAAAUCUCAAAUUUUAAAUUCAAAUUUUUAAAUUUU